rnacentral:lncRNA from 1 species
AUAUUCUUUCUACGGUCUUCUUUCUAGAUAUCUCUGACUGUUAAAUAAAAUAAUAAAUAGUCUGUCCUUCCAUUAAGAAAUUGCAAGUUACUUUCAACAUAUUUUCUAUUUAUUUGAGAUCUGAUGAGAAACAACAAAGUGCAGCUUCUUUGAAGCCCUUUUGGUUUCUUGGGAGAUUUUCUUGAAAUUUCUUCAAAAUAAGCAGGGGAACAACGGAAGGUUCGGCGAUGGAGGAUGAGAAAGAGACUGACGAAGAAGAUUUACAAUCAAGGACUAUGUUUUGUACUGGUUCAUCCAAGCAUACACCCAAAGACAAGAUCACUUGGGCGGAUCUUGACGAUGAUUUGGUAAAGAUCAAGACUCAAAACUUGAUGCAAUCUUUAUUGUUGGAAUCGGAGGACUCGGCAAGACAACUUAGGUUAGAAAAGUUUAUAUUUAUAAAUUUAUUGCGUAUCAUUUGGUAUUAGUAUCUAAAUAAUGAUAUUUCAAAAUCAUAAAAUGAUUUACGAGAUAUGGAAUACUAGAGACAAGACGAUACGAAACAAUCAUUUACGAAUGAUGUGAAAGUAGAAUCUUGCAAACUAGUAGACUAUAAAAUAUCGCUACUAAAGGGAAAUAGAUAUCUCAUUGUCAUGGAUGAUAUAUGGAAUAUAAAGGUAUUUACAAAUGAUACAAAGUAGAUUAGUUAGUGGAUUAGAAAAUAUGGUAGAAGAGACCUCAUUGUAAUAGAUGAUGUGUGGAAUAUCGGACCUCGGAUGAUUUUAACUAUUGUAUAUACAAUUGGACUCUAGAUAAGAGAUGACAAGUCAACAAAAUCGAUUGGAUGUGAUGGUUAAUGUUCAUAAUUUUUAUUUUUUUAUUCGUGUCUUAAAUAGACAUUAUGAAGUAGAAUUUUGUUAACUAGUAAAAUAGAAAAUGUCGCAAUUGAUGACAUCUCAUUGUAAUUGUAAUGAAUGAUAUACAAGAGUCCUAAGUUUUUUGGACUAUCCUAUCAAGUGGCCAUUGUUGCAAGCUUUGGAAAAAUAUAAUUAUUCUUGGUUUAUUGCCCGAUCUUGAAAUUCUCAAACUGUUGUAUCGAUUGAGUUGUAUGAUUGUCGAGAUUCAGUAGCACAACAAAUACUGAAGCUAACAAGGUGUCAAAGUUGGCAGUACAGAAUUGUCCAAUACAUUGUUGUUCAAUUACAAAUGUUAUUCACUUUUUUGUAUUUCCUUUUUUCUCUCUACUAAUUUUGGUGCGGAUGAUGAAAUUAACUUCUUUUUUGGACUAUGGUUUUCAAACCAAUGUUUUAAAAAUCGACUCAAACAUUGACUCGAAAAAGAAAAGGGGUCAAUUUUUAAAGGGUCGAACCGGUAUGGAAUGACAAAUCAAAUAAAUAAGUACACAAAUAAGCUAUAAAAUAUCAUAACUAUAAAAAAAAUUUUAAUUUUAGUUUUCUCAUUCAAAGUAAAUGUAAUCCAUGUUUGUUAAUUAUAUUUAUUAUAGUAAUUUAUUUUAUAACCUCAAAAAUUAACAAUUAAUAUGUCAAAAAUAACUUGCUUUGUUCAAAUUGAAAAUUAUAAUUUUGUUGGUGUUUAUGAUUUGUUAAUGAAGAUAAUAAAGUAAAUUAGUCAACACUUAGAAAGUUAAAUUGGCAAUUGGUUAUUAUCUCACAUUGGAAGAUUACCAAAAUAUUAGAAGAAGAAUCUUCUUUAAAAAUGAGCCAGUAUCUCAUAUUGGAAGGUUACCAAAACAUUGGAAAAAUAGUCUCCUUUAAAAAUGAGGUAAAAGAGAAUCACUUGUAUAAAAAAGUUAGGGAAAAAUUCAUUUAUAAGAGUUUAUCUAUUCCAUAUUUCAAAACUAAGAAAAGAAGAUUUACAUUCAGUUAUUAUUAAAAUUUAUUUCUGAAAUAAUUGAUUAAAAAAAUAUUUUAUUAAUUAAACAUAUUAAGGCCAUAGAUCUAUUAAAUUUGAUCACAGUUUAUCAAAUUAAUUGAUUACAAAUUAUUUCUAAGUCACAUAUCGAAAAUUCUAUAGGUCACAAAUUAUUUAUCGAUCACAUACUGAAAAUUUCAUAGGUCACAAUUCUUUGACCGAUCACAAAAUUAAAAUUUUUAUUGGUCACAAAUAAAAUUUUUCACAAGUCACAGUUCAUUGAUCUGUCACAAAAUCAUAAUUUUAAUUGGUCAUAACUCAUUUGUCGGUCACAGAUCAAAAUUUUCAUAAGUCACAAUUAAUUGAUUGGUCACAAAAUCAAAAUUUUUACUAAUUACAAUUUAUUUGUUGAUCACAAAUUAUCAAAAUAAUUUGCCACAAUUAAUUUUACAAUCACAAAUUAUUUUUUGAUCACAAUUUAAAAAUUUUAUAGAUCACAAUUUAUUCAUUGGUCACAAAUCAAAAAUUUAUUUGUUACCACCACGCCAUGACUUUAGCAGCACCAUUGCCAAAACCACUGUUACCACCUCCCGACAGCAACAUCCCCAUCUCAUACGAGCCAACACUGCCACCUCCCCACACCACCGUCGAUAGCAAAACCACCACCUCAAACAAAUUAACCAUCAUAGAAACCACCACCACACCAUCGCAUCACUAGUGCGAGGCUGCGCCGCAAGCGAAAAGGAAGGAGAGCUAGCCACACUAACUCACCACCACCACUACCCGCACCACCGCCACCUGCACCACCUAAUUUGUAACCACAUCGCCAAUGCCAACAUUGUUUGUGACAUCGCUAUAUCCACCACAUCUAUCACCAGAUCCACCAAUAAAAAUCACCUCAAAAUCCCAAAACCAAAACAUUAAAACCCAUCACCACACAACAACACAACACCACCCGCACUGCACUCCCCACCACACCACUGUACCACACAUCCAAACACUACAUCGUCAUCACCAAGCUACUGUAGUCGCGAUCAGAGAGGCAUAGAUCGCGUUAUCUGAGUGUCGGCACUGCCGUGAGCAUCGCUUACAACAACACUCAGAAUGGCCACUAUGAGAGCUGCCUCCAAUGCUCACAACAGCGCUUAGAAGUUAGAUCAACACCUAUAAUCUUGCAGCAAAAUAGAGAGAAUUUGAGCUCCGGCACCACUGAGAUGGAGAGAAUCUGAUAGGCCCUUAGUCGCGGUAUCUGAGCAUCGACACCGUUGACGAUUUCGCAAUAGCGGCUAUGACGAUCGGUGCCGACGGAGAGAAGGAGACGUUUGAGAGAUAUAGGGUAGAGAGAAAGUGGAGAUAAAGGGUAGAAGAAAAUGAAUGAAUUAGGGCUCCGAAUGGGAUGGGUGGAUUAAUUAAUUUUUAUGGAGUAAUUAAUUAAAAUAAGCCUCCGAUUUUUGAAAUAAUAAAUUUAAUAUAUGAUUAAUGAAACUGAAUCUUUAAAUCUCUUAGUUUAUGUAAUCUCCUCUUUAGGGAAUUCGAGCCUUCAAUUGUAGUGUGUGGCCCAUUAAAAUAGUUAAAAGUUUUUGUGAAAAAAAUUAAAAUCAAUCGGGAAAAACGUGGCAGGUUUACCGGUUCACGGUUAAACUGACCGAGUUGAUAGUUUAUUAGCCGGUUCUUUAUUUUUCGGUUAAUGUAUGAGUACCGGAUCGGAUUAAAGGUGGAUUCACGAAUUUCUUGAUUGAACUGGCCAAUCCGAUCCGAUUUUUAUAACAUUGUUUCAAAUUAAACACAGUUUUUCUCCCCCAUAAUUUUGAAUGUGCUUGCUGGAAUACAAUUUUGUUUAGUCUUACUUUGGAUGGAAGUUAGAUUUCGUGAAAGCAAGAGAAAAGUUCAAAAAGUUAAACAAUCUCAAGAGAAUUAGAUUCUAUUACGUGUUGACCAUUUGCUCAUGUUUGAGUCAUAUUCCUUUAAAAUAUAUUUUUUAAACUCAUUUUUAAUGAUAUAUUCUUUCAAUAAAAUAAUUUUGCAUGUAAAAAUUUAAAAUUUUUCUCUAUAAUUUGAUCACGCUUUUCAAAAAUUCACAAUUUCAAAAUCUAUUAAUCCAAAAAAUAGGGUUGAAACAAUUAUGUUACAAGCAUUUGUAUUUUAUGCCUUCUAUAUAUUGGAGUCGAAAAAAAAAUAUUAGGCCAAAAUCAUGUUAUUGUAUAUAAUAGCGCAUGCUAUGUUGGUUAUAAAUUAAUCCUUAUUUAGUCAGUGCAUUUUUGGAAAUAUGAGUUACGUUUUAAAAUACUUAUUUGUAUGUAAAUUCAUGAUUGCCCUUCUUACUUAAUUGUCAAAUUCAAUCUGACGCCUAUUUGGUGGUAUUAAAAACAAACUUUUAGUCAAUUUUGAUUUUGAUUAAAAAAAUGAUGAAAUAUGUGGUUAAGAAGUUGUGACUUUUAUUAUGGGUGCGUGCGCGUGCGUGCAUACAUACAUUUUUUUGGUUUGUUAUUGUCAAUGAUUUAUCUUCUGUUCUGAGUUACACAAUGAAAUUUCAAUAAGUAUUGUACUUCUAACUUUGUUAAAAAAAAAAAAAAAAAUGUCUUCAACAAACCACUUAUUUUCAAAAAUUAUCCUAAUAAUCACUAAAUUUGUAAUUCAUUAUCUCAUCCAUCAUUCAAUUUUUUAAAUUGACAAUCACGUGGAUGCCAAGUGAAAAAUAGAUUGCCACGCAUGUACUUUUGUCAGUUACGUCACCAAAUUUAUCAAUUCUUUAAACGUUCAUUGAGUGAGUAAUAGAUGUGAUUACAUUUUGCAAAGUUCAAUGACUAAUGGGGAAACAUUUGAAAUUUAGUGAUCCCUUGAAAACUAUUCGUUAAGUUCAUUGACCAAUCAGGUAAUUAACUCCCUUUUUAAUUAUUGUUAGAGAUUCAAGGGAACAAGCAUGAUAUUUUGAUUAAGCUUUAGAUUAGGGUAUUUAUCUUGUUGCAAACUAUUGUUUCUAGUUUGUUUUUUAUUUGAUUAAAAGAAAUAAUAUAAUUGAGAGUUUUACUUUAGCGCUCUGUAAUCCGAAUCGUUAUUAUGUGAAAUCGACGAUGUAUUAAUUAAGAAUCAAUUCUUGAUAUUUAUGUGAGGAAAACCGAAUUUUGAUUAUUAAGUUUCUGAUAUUUUUACAAAGAACUAAGGAAUAUUUAAUUAUUUUAUUUGUAAUUGCCUUUUGCUAUAUUAUAUAUAUCAAGAUUUUCAAUUUUUGCACACAAGGUGCGUAGGCUAACCUUAAUAAAUUGAAAGAAGUUUGUGGUUGCGCUUGUCGACAAUGUUGAAAGAUGUAAAGUAGAGGUAGUUGUAGCAACGGUUUCGAAAUUUUGUUUUUUAAGUGGAUUUUUCAUUAAUCUUCAAUUUGUGCAGUUCCAUAUCUUUCAAAUAGUCACAUUACUAGAAGGCGAAAAACGUCAGUGCAUUCGUUAGUUGACCUAAAAAAUUAACCAAAAAAAAUUGUAUUUUUUUACCAACUAUACCAUAUACAUUUUCAUCCCUUCCUAUUAUACUCUCAAAAAUAAAAAAAUGUCAAUUAUUUAUACAUUUUCACUUCCGAUUAUUUCAUGAUAUGAUUGUAUACGAUCAUCUUCUAAAUAGAUUCUAAAGAAACCCAUGUUCUCGAUGACAAUCCUUUAGAUAUUGCUUGUCGUCUAUUAGGCGUUCUUUUUGAACCUGUGUACAGUUAUUGUUGUUGGAAUUUAAAAAAUUCCUGGUUUGGGCAUGAUGGUUAUUUGUUUUCCAAGGAAAAUCCUAGUUAUUUCAACAUAAGGCAACAACAUGGUGGAAUGUUAUUCGGAAAGAUGUGAAAUUUUGCGUAUGAGCAUGGUAAAAUAAGUUAUUUAGACUACGUGUACUUCGAUUUCUUUAAUAAAUUUUUCUAGGCAACACCAUGAAGAUAUUGGAGUAUUUUCAGAAGAUGAAGUAUCUUUAUAAAAUUGAAAAGAGGAGAUCGAGUGAGGCAUCAUUCUGAUUGGUAACUGAUGUAGAUUUUAUGAAUUUAGUGAAGGUGCUUGAUGAAAAAAGGACAGCUGAGUUGUAUUGUUUUUCUGCAGUUGAAGUGUUGGAAUUGUCAUGGAAUGAAACUUUAAGUCAUGAUAUUUUUGUUGUUGGUGUUGUUGAAAUCGGUAAACAUUAGGAGAAUGUGGAUGAGAUUUUUGGAAAAACUCGUGACAAAGAAAUUGAGCAGAAAUCAUGUUAUACUGUUGAGAUUUAUGAUGAGACGUUAGAGGGUGAUGAAUUGUAUGUUGCUGAUGAAGUUGGGAGUGAAAGUGCAUAUGAUGAAAUAGAAGUCAAUGAUGUUAAACACAACUAUGGGAGAGCAAAGGCUGAAUCACCAACAACCGGAAAUUAAAACAUGAGCUACUCAUGGGGCUACGUCAGAGGUAACUGAGGUUGAUGAACCUUAGGAUGAAGUCUAUGAGGCUCAAAAUCCUACUGAUGAAGUAAGUAGCCAAAGAAGAAAGGCUGAAGUACGUGGUGAUGAAACAGAAGUAAAUGGGGGAGGAAACUCAUGUUGGUGAAGUUGAGAUGGUGGGUGAAGAGGUACGUGUUGAUGGAGUACCUGUGAUGGAGGAAACUCAUGCAUUUUUCUCAAUUCUUUUCAACCACAUAUUUUUCAUUAAAAUAAUAUUAUACGUAAAUAAAAAAAAUUUCAUCCACAUAUUCUCCCUCAAUCUACUAUUCUAAAAUUUAUUUUUCCUUCAAAAUGAGUGUCAAACACCCUCUUAGUAACGAAUUUUAAAAUAGCGUAGCUCAUACUUUAGAAUUGGGUAAUUAGCACAAAAUGUCCAUACCUUUCAAUGUUUUUUGAAAAGGUCCCUACUUUUUUUUUUUGGCGGAUUACACCCUCACCUUUACUUUUUUUUUGCGCAAAACGUCAUUCUGUCAACUCCCCGUUAAAAUGCUCCGUUAAAUAAAAACGGUAAUUAGCACAAAAUGUCUCUACCUUUAAAUAUUAUUGUGCAAAAUAUUUUUACCUUUCAUUCUUCUUAGUAUAAUUAGUACAAAAGGUCCAUACCUUUCAAUGUUAUUGUACAAAACGUCCCCACCUUUUAUUUUUAGCAUUUUCACCCCACCUUUUACAUUUUAUUGCGCAAAAUGUCAUUUUUAUAUAUUUUUUCAAUAAAAUGAGGAUUUUACCCUCCUAUUCAAAUAAAACAAAAAGAAAAGAAAAGAAAAAUAAAUAAUUAAUUGUAAUCAUAGUCCUAAAUCUUUCAAAACAUUAUAGACAAGUCCUAAAUUCUCUACUACCCCCACUUUCACAACCCAUCACGCCACCACUUAUUGAUCCAUAUAGCGCCAUCUUUUAGCCACAACACCUAUCGGACUCCACCACCACCAGCCUAGCCCCACUCUCCCCAAUAUCCUCCUCCAUAGUAUUGGUCACCAAUCUAUCUGAAACAACCGCAUUUACGGUGGUGGAGUUCGUGGGCAUGGCAGUCGAAAGGUGGUGUUAUGUGGAUUUAUAGUUGGCAGUUUGAUAGGUUGUGAAAGUGGUGGUGGUUGAGAAUUUAUGAUUUCUUUGUAAUUUUUUAAAAAUUUAAGGACUAUGAAUGCAGUUGGUAAUUCAUCUUUUCUCUUUGUUUUAUUUGAAUUGGAGGGUAAAAUCGUCAUUUUAUUGAAAAAAUGGAUGAAAAUGACCUUGCGCAAUGAAAGGUGAAAGGUAGGGGUGAAAAUACUAAAAAAUGAAAGGUAUGAACGUUUUGCACAGUGACAUUGAAAAUGUAGGGACCUUUUGUGCUAAUUAUGCCAAAAAAUGAAAGGUAGUGACGUUUUGCACAAUAAUAUUGAAAGAUAUGGACAUUUUGUGCUAAUUAACUUUUGAUUUAACGGAGCAUUCUAACGAGAAGUUGACAGAAUGAUGUUUUGUGCAAAAAAAAAGGUAAAGGUAAGGGUGUAAUCCGCCAAAAAAAGAAAGGUAUGGAUCUUUUCCACAAAAAUAUCGAAAGUUAGGGAUGUUUGGUGCUAAUUACCCUUUAGAAUUUAUUAAAACUUUUAAAAAGAUUAAAUUAUAUAUAUGCCCUUUUAGGUAAAUUUUCAAUUUAUAAUUUGUUGUACUAAUUUUUUUUAUUUGUAUAUAUUACUUAUAAAAAAAAAAAUAACAAGUAUCAAUUUUUUCACUCUCUUAUGGACGAUGCAAUAAAGAAAGGGUUAAAAUCGGAGAAAAAAACCCCCAAGCAUUAGGACUGUAAGUAAAAAUCGUAAAAUCGAAAAAUCGAACCGAAACCUUAUUCUAGAAACCUUCGGUUUGGUGCCACAUGGACCCAAUCAAUGAAAUGGUUUUGAACCAAAUCAAACCGGUCAAAAUAGUUUGGUUUAGGUUUGAGAAUUUUAAUUGCGGUUUAAAAUCAAACCAGACCGACAAAAAAAUAUAUAAAAAUAAAAAAAAUGGAAAAAUGAAUUUUUUUGAAAAUUCAUCCAAAUAUGUAAAAUUCAAUAGUUUUGUCAUUUGUGAAUAUUUUUGUCAAUUUCUAAUUUUCUAAUAUAGAUAUAUUAUUAUUAUCAAAUAAUCCUAAUUUAUAUCUAAUAAUUUCAAGACUAACAUAAUCUAUCAAAAACUCUUUUCCUAUUUAGAAUUUAGAUGAACUCCAACCGAUACCCAACACAGUCUUGAGCUACCGGCACCACACACUUCUUUUUCAGAUUUUUCACGCCUCUUCAAAGUUGAAUUGAAAUCUAUUAUAUCAAAUCGGAGACAAAGAGAUCCUAUACUUUUAGUGAUAAUAUUUGUUACAAAUAAAGUUUCAGAUCGAUAAUUUUUUUGGAGAAAACUAAGAUAAAAAUAUGAAAUUAAAUGCGUUUUGUAAUAUCAGACAAACGUAAACUUGUGUAAUUGUUAUAUUUAGAUAUUAUAAACAAUCGCUUUAUUAUUGUGGUUGGUUAUUUUCUUUGUCUAAUUAGUAUCAUUUUUUCAGAUAUGAUGAUUACCAGGUCUUGUUGGACAUCAUUAUGUUUUUUGACCUUAUAUUUAGUUUAGUAGACUUAUAUUAUAACGUUAUUAUAUCAUCAUUAGUCUAAAAAAGGUGAAUAAAAAUGAAAAAAAAUUAUGUUUUAAUUUAUUGUGAUUUCACUUUAAUUUAGUUGGUAUUUAAAUUUAUAAUAGAUAUAUUUAGCUCCUAUUUGAGCUAUAUUUUUCAUAUCAUUAUAAUGAGAAAAUUGACUAUUGGAGAGAAGGGUGGGUCCCACACAUGAAACAUCAGGUGAACAAAGACAGUUGGACUUGUAAUAUAUCAACCCCAAUUUUCAUUUUUUUGUCCCAAAAAAUUUGGUUCAAACAGGGCUUUAAUUUGUUUUAGAUUUAUUGCUAGUAAGAUAUAAAUAUAUAUUGAAUUCAAUGAAUUAAUGACAUAAAAGUAGUCAAGCAAAAAAUAUAUGGCGAAAUCGGACCAAACCGUUAGGUUUAGGUUUGAGUUUUUUUUUUCAAACCGUUCAAAAUGGUUCGAUUUAGAUUUGGGUUUUUCUCAAAUCAAUUUAAAUGAUUUGGUCUAAAAAUCUGUCAAAAAUCGAUAAAAUCGAACCACUUACACCACUACCAAGCUGGGCACGCCGGUACGGUAUAUGAAAAUGCAAGGCAUAGUGAUAGUCAUCGAUUUAAUCAUAUUAAUUAAAGGAGUAACCCAGCUGAAUGACACGUACUCAUAUACGUGUCGUAUCGCUUGACGUGUGUCCGUUUCAAACUCUCUAAAUACCAUGCAAGAACAGCCCAAUAACUCCAUUCACCUUGACUCAUAAACUUCCAAAUCUUCCAUUAGUUCAAGCAAAACAUUAGUUCAAUUUUUACCAAAUUGAAAAUGCAAGGCAUAGUCACCGAUUUAAUCAUAUUAAUUAAAGGAAUAACCCGGCUGAAUGACACGUACUCAUAUACGUGUCGUCUCGCUUGACGCGUGUCAGUUUCAAACUCUCCAAAUACCAGUAUACCAUGCAAGAAUAGCCCAAUAACUCCAUUCACCUCGACUCUUAAACUUCCAAAUCUUCCAUUACUUCAAGCAAAACCAUAGUUCAAUUAAGCCCAAUUCAACAAAAAUGGCGUCUCACGAUCAAAGCUACAAAGCUGGUGAAGCCAAGGGUCACGCUCAGGUUAACUUAUAAACGUUUCUAAUUCUGCAUCUCAAGAAAAAUUCUAUCUUAAAUGAUUUUCAGAAGAGCAGUUCAGACUUUUAUAUUUUGUGUAUAUAUUUCAUCAUUAUUCUAUAUGCGAUGUAUUCGUAGGAGAAAACUGGGCAAGCUACGGAUACAAUGAAGGACAAGGCACAGAAGGCCAAAGACACAGCUUCAGAUAUGGCGCACUCCGCCCGGGAUCGAACUCAACAAAACAAGGACCAAACUGGCAGUUAUCUUUCAGAGAAAACCGAAGCCGCGAAGCAGAAGGCAUCUGAAACGGCCCGGGGGACAAAGGAGGAGGCAUCUGAAACUGCCCACGCGACGAAGGAGAAGGCGUCGCAAAUGGAAGAAUCUGGCGAGGAAACUGCACAAGCAGGCAAGGAGAAAACUGAGGGAACUAUGCAGAGGGCUGGGGAACAAAUUAAGAGUAUGGCGGGAGGAGCUGCUGAGGCUGUGAAGCAUACUUUUGGCAUGGGUGAAACUGAAGAGGAUCCAUGUAAUAAGAGGGAUAAUUAGUUAGUUUUUGUAUUAAUUUCUGGGCAUGUUUUUGAGGCUCGUAGUCCUGCUUUUGGAUACUAAUAACUUGUAAUAAUAAUGUCUCAACUCUGUUAUAAAUGUGACCAGAUUUUUAAUUAUGUUAAUCUAAUCUAUAUAAUUUAAAUUAUUUUUAAAUAAGUUAUUUAAAAAUCAAUUAUUGAAUUUAUAAAUAAAGUUUCUAUGGAGCUUUAUGUUUUUUUCUUCAAAUAAAUGACCCUGGUUACAUUUGCGUGUGAUAGCACCAAAUCAAACCCAACACUGCGAUUGCUCCACCCACGGACAAAUCAUUCACCAUGGUUGAUUGAUUGUGUCAGAAAGACUUUUAUUCCAUCGUCUCAAUCGUCCCCCCAGAAGAAUAUUUGCAUCUAAAAGAUCUCUCACUAAUGGCUCCAACCCCUCUUCGCCUCAGGAAAGGAGGCCUUCUUCGUCUUCCACCUAAGCUGGGUAGGAGAGGCCCAAACCUUGCGUAGGAAGGCUCAAACCCAAUACCAGUGACUCAAUAAUAUACCCACAAAAUCAAGCAGAAGAAUAUUUGCAUCUAAAAGAUCUCUCACUAAUGGCUCGAACCCCUCCCCCCUCUCGAAAGGAGGCCUUCUUCGCCUUCCACCUAAGCUGGACAGGAGAGGCCCAAACCUUGGGUAGGAAGGCCCAAACCCAAUCCCAAUGACUCAAUAAUAUAACCCACAAAAUCAAGAUUGGUGGAUGCAAUUGAAUCUGAAGAAGAAAGGUAACACUUAAGAUCACAACCUCAUGGCACCAAGGGAGUAAAAGAACGGUUGUCUCUCAAUCUCAAUCGCGUCACACGGCUAGUAUGAAACAGGAGGCACACGUGUAUAGUUUUAGGGCCAGACAUUAUAGGCCAAAACCGAACACAUGACCGGAGCCAAGUGAAUUGGGCUAACAUAAGAUUGGCCCACAAAUGGCAAAGUGGGCUAACAAAUUGAAGUGCGAUCCAACUAAUGAAUGGAUCACAAGCAACACAAAUUUAUUUAGGGGCAAUUUACAAAAAUAUCCUUAAAAUGAGGGAUCUUUUGAAAAAUCAUAAAAGUUUUUUGGAAGAAAAAAAUACUAUGUAAUAUUAAAAGUGACACAAUGUCACUUUUAAAAGUUAAGUGUCACUUUUUAAUAAAAGUGAUGUUGUGUUUGUCACUAAAAAAAAAUGAUAGAAAUCAAGAAGGUUACUAAAAAAAAUUGACAAACACUACAGAAAGUGAUAAAAAUUCAAAAAAUUGACAAAUAUUUAAAAAAACAUGAUGAGUUCAAAAGUUGAGACAAACUAAAAAAGUUAUACAUAUGAAAAAAAAGUGACAAACACUCGAAAAAUGAUUAUUCGAAAAAAAAGUGACAAACUCAGGAAGCAAGUUCAAUCUUGAUUUUAUGAUUAAUAAAUAUUAUUGGACCAGUGAAUUGUACAUUUUUCCAAGUUAAAAGUGUCUUUACAUAAAUAAAUAUGAAAGAGUCACGACAGAGACAUGAGUAUCACCAAUUUGCUAAUCAGAAGGCAACUUUCUAAAAAAUUAUGAUCCCACGUCUAGAAAUCUAGUGUACAAUACAGAACACAAAUUCAAGUUUUGGCAUUUAAAAUUAUGAUCCCACGUCUAGAAAUCUAGUGUACAAUACAGAACACAAAUUCAAGUUUUGGCAUUUAACUGACACCAUUAUGCUUUCAUCAUUUAGUACUAAAAAGCCUUUAAAAUGAUAAAUUCCUCCUCGGGCAGAAAUGAAAUCUAUGGUUAAUUGAUCACACUAAGAUUCUAGAAAGAAUUGUUUUCAGAGUUAUAUCGAAUUCUAUUGUGGUGGGCGAACGAGAAUUGUUGAUGUGCAUACAUCGCCAACACCAAUAUGAAAUGAAAGAGGCUUUCCACGAUUAUAGCUGCUAUUGAAAACCUUCACAAUUGAUAUAUACAACCCACAUUAACAAGAAAAUAAUUCUAAGAUAGCAGUAACAAACCCACACGAGCAAGCAUCAAAGUUUGCUCUAGAGUUCAAUCCAAUUGUGCAAAAUGCUAUAUUUGAUCGAAGGUGAAUCCGACCAAGCCUCUCCAGGACCAUCAAAAUUUUAGGCCUGUGCCUUAACAUCGGGACAACUUUGGAAAUAGCUGGUAGAUUCUUCCUAUUUUUCACAAUAGCCCUUCUUAUUAAAAGUACUAUAUUGCCCUUAAUGAAAUUAUUUACAAGAUCUAUCUUAUAUCUUUAAGGAAUUGUCAAUCAGGUCCUAUAUCUAUAUUUUUCAAUUUUUUGAACACCUUUAAGUAUUCUUUAUAUUUUAAUAAUUCUUCAAAAAUUAUAGGUUGUCUUUUCUUGGUUUUAUAUCCUUGAAAUAAUCCUUCUGAGAUUUCUUCUUGUAUAUUAGUAUGUUUAGUUAUAAUAUCUUCUACUUUUCUUAUUUCUCUAUAAGUUCUCACAGAAUCAAAUCCUAUAUUAUUCUUACAACUAUAAUCUAUAUCUCUAUAUAUCUUCAAUUUUUUCUUUACCAAUAGGAAAUAUAACAUCAGAUUUUACAUCUAAUUUAACCAGAAAAGAAACAUCUUCUUCAUCUAAAAAUAAAAUGAGAUUAUUUUCAUCAUUAACAGUGGAAGUGGAUGCUUGUGAAUUGUUCAUGAAAAUAAUUAAAGCAUAAGCAUGUAAAGAUAAGUAAAUAACUUACAGUAAUCAAGUGGAAAUAAACAGGUUUUCCCUCCAGUAUGUUCUUAUAGAUGCUUUGCAUGUACUUAAUCAAUCUUCUGAAUCAAGUAAAGAUUUAAAAUGUUUUUGAAAUCAUUUGGGUCCACAACUGCUUCCGCAAAAGGCUUUUCAAUUAGGGUUGCAUUUCUCAUUCUAGAGAACUAGCCGUGUUUCCACAGACGCUAUCUCACAGUAUCCAGAGUCUCUGUUUUCACCUCUAUCCAACCUCUUUUCAGAAUCAAGUUCCUACUUGGAAUGAAAUUUUAAAAGAUAACUCACACACAAAGUGCUACAAAUUUUUUGUUAGAAAACUGCCUUUUUCCCCUAAACAAUUCAUCAAAGACGGGUACUUUAGCAUGGCUAACAUCCAUUCAAAAUCAAUAUUUUGAAAAUCUUUUAAAAUCUCUAUCUGUACUACCGAGGAAUCAUGAGAAACUUAACGAAAUCCUUUUAUGUAAGCUUUGUUGAACAUAACAAACUUUACUUUGAUAUUCAUAAACUGAAAUUGUACAUGCUUACAAACUAUAUUUACAUACCUUUGGUACUCACCUUAUGAAGUUUAGAACUCCAUAAGUGAUUACCUUAUUACACGCUUUCCUAUCUUCCAAUUAUCUAAUAUUUUUCUGAAUACAAGUAGUCUAUACAGAUUACAAGAAAUUUUUCUCCAAUGUGUUAUCAGAGAAUAGAGAUAGAUUUUUCGAGAUAUCUUCCUCCUUCCUUCAUGCCUCCUUUUAUAGAAGAUUUUGGAAUCUUAUCUUGGACAGGUGUUUUCCACCUUUCUUUGUUGGGUAGUUAGGCCAUCUUAUCUCCACCGAAUUCUUCAUUGUCUUUUUGAUGGGUGGACCUCUUAUCUUGAAAUUGGAUGCCUUAUCUUUUAUCUUUGUCUGCCACUUGUGACCAUUGGUAGGAAGUAGUCACAAUUAUAGAGACUUUUCUUGAUUUAUCUUCUGUCUUCUAGUAGCCACAGUUUUUCUUUAAUAAAUUUCUUUAUUAAAGUAGUGAUAAAGGGCUACUUUAGUCACCAUCACUUCUCCAUUUUCGAAUCAAAGAAUUCUGCAGGGAAUUCUUCAUCAUUAAGUGAUGAUUGACUCAUAUAUUCAACAACACAGUAUUUACAAUGGUGAUCACUGUAAUUUCAAAGUAAUUUGCAUAGUUCUUUAGCCAUAUCUUCUGAUCCGUGUACUUGGUUGGAUAUAAUUGCAGAUAAUAAAUGAUCAAGAUAACAAAUAUCUUCUUCUUUGGUAUCCAUCCUUGCAUUGGAAUAAAUAAUAUGAUCUUCAGAUGGAUAAACCCAUAUUUUUUAUUUUUCAGUAAUUAUUUGAGUUAUAUGUUCAAAUAUCUCUUUAUACCCUUUUGGCUCUUCUAUAGGGCAUCACAUUAAGAAUAUCUUGAUAUCCAUUUUUAACAACCUUUUGAUUGGCUGGUAAAAAAUGUUGAUUUGUUAAUCCCAUUUUGAUCACAUGGAACGAUGGAUGUAUAUAUUCAAGGACAGAAUCCCAUUCCAUUGUUGCUGAAUGGAAUCUGAUAUAUAUAUUUGUUGUUUUAACAACUUCAGUAUAUCUCUUGACAGCUUUCCUGAUGUUGGCUGGAAGCUGAGCUAUUUCCUUGAGAUCUUUACUAGGAUAUAUACAAAGUAUAUUUCCUAUUUCAAAGCAAUUUCGAACCCAGUUGGCUGGUGCUCCUGAAUAAAAGUUUAUCUUGUUGUAUUUCGAAUAGUGGAGAGUCUUCAUCCACUUUCCAAUCUCCAGAUACCAAUCUGAUAGAAUAUUAAAAAUAACAAUAAAAAGUGUUACUUCUUCAUGGUUAUCUUUUUUGGGCAUUUUUGCUUCAUGGCAUAUCUUGACAAUAUCUUUGGGAUCUAUCCUUUCAAUAGAAAGUUUAGAUUGAGUUUGGCUCUGUGAAGAGCUACCUUCUCUUUUGAUAUCUUGAAUAUCUCUAUUACCAGUAAUAUGUUUAAGUAUUCCCUGUGAAGGGGUUCCUAUUACCUUCUUUUCUUUCCCUUUAUUCUCGGGGAGAGAGCUAGUAUUCACAAGUCCCUGCGAAGGGAUACUAGUCUUGGUACAAGUAACUUUUGCAUCAUGGGCUAAAUUCUUGCCUCGAAGGCUAUCUUGGAUAUUUUGAAUUUGGGUUUCCAAAUAGGAAACUUUUAUUUCAAGUAUCUGGACUUUCGUCCUUAAUUGUUCUAGCUCCAUCCCUGCUAAGAUAAUCAGGAAGAAAGUUAGCUUUUCCUUUAAUAUAUUCAAUAUCAAAUUUAAAAUAUGAAAACCAAAUCUGUAUCCUAAUUAUAUAUCUAUUAGAUGGAUCAACAUUAUUUUUCAAGAAUGCUUUAACUUGAGUAUUGUCAGUUCUAAUCAAAAACUUCUUUGGUAAUAAAUAAUCUUCAUAUUUUUGAACUCCUCUUUUUACAGCAAUGAGUUCCUUUCUAUUCGUCUCAUAUCUUGUUUCAACUUCUUUGAAUGUCCCUGAUGUAUAACCUGCAAGUAUCUCAGGGCAACAACAAUCUUUUUCACAUUUAUAUUUUUUAUAAUUCUUUUUAACCUUUAACACUGCUCCCCAGUAGUAAUCUGAAGCAUCAGUUUCCAGGAUAAAAAAAUUUUCUUCUUGGGGUAUUACAAGUUUAGGCAAUACCUUUAAUUCUUCUUUUACCUUUCUUAUAUUUUCACAAUCUUGCUCUUCCCAAGACCACAUUAUAUUUUUUCUUAAUUUUGGAAGAAAAUAAUUUUUCAAUUUAGCACAGUUUUCAAUGAAUCCUUCAGCAUAAUUUAAUAUUCCGAGGAAGCUUUGUAAUUGUUUUUUAUCUUUGAUUUCUUCAGGAAAUUCUUGAAGUUUUUCUCCAAUAUGGGAUUGCAAUUGCAAUUCUCCUUCUUUUAUAAAUAAUCCUAAGAAUUCUAUUUUUGUUUUAGCUAUCUCAGCUUUCUUUUGAGAAAGUGUAAUACCAUGUUUUUUCAUAAUAUAACAGAAUUUCUCAAGAUACUCAAUAUGUUCAUCAAUAUUAUUUGAAUGAAUAAGUAUAUCAUCUACAUAUGCAAUACAAAAAUGAGUAAUUGGUUUGAUUACCUCAUCCAUUCUUCUUUGAAAUAUCUGUGGUGCAUUUUUCAACCCAAAUGGCAUUACAUUCCAUUCGUAUUGUCCUAAAGGAUUGGGGGUACUAAAUGCAGUUAGAGAUUUACUUUCUUCUGUAAGCAUGAUUUGCCAAAACCCUGACUUACAAUCAAAUUUUGAAAAAAUCUUUUUGUUUUGUACUUGUUUAAUAAGGGUAUCCUUAUUUGGCAAGUANNNNNNNNNNNNNNNNNNNNNNNNNNNNNNNNNNNNNNNNNNNNNNNNNNNNNNNNNNNNNNNNNNNNNNNNNNNNNNNNNNNNNNNNNNNNNNNNNNNNNNNNNNNNNNNNNNNNNNNNNNNNNNNNNNNNNNNNNNNNNNNNNNNNNNNNNNNNNNNNNNNNNNNNNNNNNNNNNNNNNNNNNNNNNNNNNNNNNNNNNNNNNNNNNNNNNNNNNNNNNNNNNNNNNNNNNNNNNNNNNNNNNNNNNNNNNNNNNNNNNNNNNNNNNNNNNNNNNNNNNNNNNNNNNNNNNNNNNNNNNNNNNNNNNNNNNNNNNNNUGUAUCAACAAAUACUUCUCUAAAAGAGAUUAGAAAAGGUACUUGAGAAGCAUACUUACUGUAUAUUACCUUAUUUCCUCCUGCUGUUGUAGCAGUUAUUACCUUCUUUGAAUUAUAUUUCCAGUUUUCAGAUGGCAAUACAUUUGGUAAGCAUAAGCUUAUUGUACUUCCUGUAUCUAAAUAAGCAUGAAAUUUAAUUCUACAAUAAUUUUUUAUAUUGAGUGUAAUUUCAAUAUAUGGACUCAUGGGAUUAGUACUUAUUAUUCUUUCCAUGAUAACAAUGAUUUCAUAUUUUCAUCUAUUCUUGGAGUGAUAAUUGGAUUAUCGUCAACUGUUAUUUUCAAAUAUCCUUGCCAGAUUUUAUAAGGACUAUAUUUCUCAAGAAAGUUCAUUCCUAUUAGAAUAGGUGAACGGUCCACUCCAUAUAAUUCAUCUUUACAUAGAAUUAUUUCUUUAGUAUAUUCUUUCUGAUCCUCUCCUACAAGUAUAAGCGGAAAUUUAACAUAUUUUCUUAUUUCAAGAUUAUUUCCUAAAUAAUCCUUAAAAAUAUAUGGUUCUGGUAUUUCAAAAUCUAUUAGAUGAUUAACAAACUUGGCAUUUACAUGACUUUUAUCUGCUCCAGUAUCUAUAAGGACAAGAAGAUUUUUCUUAAAUCCUUCUUGGUUUACAUAUCUUGUCUUAAUGUAAUAUUGUGAACUUGAUGGUUCAGCAAUACUUAAAUUUUUAAGUUUGCUUAUCCUAGAGUCUUGUCUAGAGGGAAAUCUUGCAAUAAGAUUGUCUCCUUCUAAGCUGACACUAUUUCUUCUUAUUAAUUUUCCUUCAGAAUUAAUUUCUUUUGCUUGUUUAUGAAAAUCAAGCAUUAUUUGUUCUGGUAUUGUUACUUCAUGUUCUUGGUAUUUCCUAGGAGGUAUGUAUUGUGCUAAUUCCUCAAAAUCUUUAUGUAUUAUUAUGUUAUCAGUAAUUUUCCUUAAAUUGUGAUGAUGGCUAGUACUAAAAGCAAAAAUUGAUUUUAUGCUUAUACUAAUAGCCUUACUUCUUCGUAACAUUUUUAAAUUUCCAAUUCUAUGAUAUAGAUUGAAACUUUGAUCAAUAUUUUCAUCACUCAAUGAUAUGGCAUAAUUUGGUUUUACUGUAAAUAUUAUCUUUUGAUAGACUAAAUUUCCUACAACUGUUCCUAAUAGAGCAUCUAUAGGAUCUUGUAAGAUUCUAUUGUCCAUACAGUAUAUUUCUAUUGGUAUAUUCAUACCUUCUCUAAAAAAUCCUUUUACCAUUAUCUGGACUCCUCCUAAUUCAAUACAUUUUAAUUUGUCUCUUACAUUUUCUGGGAUUUUAGAUAAUUUUUGUUUUACCCAUUCUUUUGUGAUUAUAGGAAUUUUUGCCUUUCUUAUAGUAUCUUCUAUAUUGAUAGACAUUUCUUUAUAAUUCAUACUUACAAUUGUUUUAUUUACCCUUGGUAAAAUUCUUAAGAAUCCUUGAUGAAAUACAUCUUUUUCUUGUAGAUCUAAUAUCUUCUUAGUAAUUCCUGCGUAUUUUUUAAUGUCAAAAGUAAUCUCUUGAUUAAUACCUUCUAUAGAAUCUUCAACUUCUUCAGUUGUUUCUAUUUCCAUUUCUGAUUGUUGUAUCUCUUGAUUCAUAUAUACUAUUUCCUCAUAAUCUUCUUCUGAUGAAGAUGUAUCUAAUUCAUAAAUACUACUACAUUCACUAUUUAAAUCUCCAAAAUAUUCAAUUGGUUCUAUAUCACCAUCUUCUUGAAAUUCUUCGUAAAUUCUAAGAGUUUUUAUAUUUUGUUUAUCUUUCUUUUUAGGACAUUGAGGGGCAAUAUGUCCUUCUUCAUUACAAAUAAAACAUCUACAUUUUUUAAUGUUUCUUGGUUUAAAUUUCUUUUUCCAAUUUCUUUUCUUGAAAUAUUUUUUAUGUGGUUUAAAAUUCCUUUUAUUGAAUUUUUUAUAGUUUUUGAACUUCCUUUUAUAUUUUUUAUAUGGUUUAUAUUUCUUCUUAUGACAUCCAAAUUGUUCAACUUGGCCAUUAUCUUUAUAACAAAAUAAUGAAUUCUUUCUUAUUUUAUAAGUUUUCUUAUUUUCUAGUGCUUCUCUGCACCACAUUCCUAUCAUUCUUCUUGUAAAUUCAAUUGUACUUCCAAAACUAUCUAUUUCUACUUCUUCCUCUUUUCCUAGAGGUAGUAAUUUUUCAUAUUCUUUUAGUAACUUAAUUCCCCAUGGGAAUGGUAACUUGGUAAAAUAUGACCUUAAAAUAGGUUUAUUUUCCUAAUAGUCUCCUUGAUUAAGUAUAUAGUAUAAUUCUUCAAAUUUACAUGUAUAUCUUUCUAACUCACACAUANNNNNNNNNNNNNNNNNNNNNNNNNNNNNNNNNNNNNNNNNNNNNNNNNNNNNNNNNNNNNNNNNNNNNNNNNNNNNNNNNNNNNNNNNNNNNNNNNNNNNNNNNNNNNNNNNNNNNNNNNNNNNNNNNNNNNNNNNNNNNNNNNNNNNNNNNNNNNNNNNNNNNNNNNNNNNNNNNNNNNNNNNNNNNNNNNNNNNNNNNNNNNNNNNNNNNNNNNNNNNNNNNNNNNNNNNNNNNNNNNNNNNNNNNNNNNNNNNNNNNNNNNNNNNNNNNNNNNNNNNNNNNNNNNNNNNNNNNNNNNNNNNNNNNNNNNNNNNNNNNNNNNNNNNNNNNNNNNNNNNNNNNNNNNNNNNNNNNNNNNNNNNNNNNNNNNNNNNNNNNNNNNNNNNNNNNNNNNNNNNNNNNNNNNNNNNNNNNNNNNNNNNNNNNNNNNNNNNNNNNNNNNNNNNNNNNNNNNNNNNNNNNNNNNNNNNNNNNNNNNNNNNNNNNNNNNNNNNNNNNNNNNNNNNNNNNNNNNNNNNNNNNNNNNNNNNNNNNNNNNNNNNNNNNNNNNNNNNNNNNNNNNNNNNNNNNNNNNAAAAUUUUGUAUAAUAUUUGGAUCUAGAUUUAUUAAAAAUUUAUGAUCUAUAUUUUCUUGAGGACCUAUUUGAAAGUUUUUAGGCAUUGUAGUGGCUUUGGUUGCAAUAUUUUUAUUAAGGGUAUUUUUGGAAAAUUGAUUGUUUGAAGGCUAAUUUUCAAAUGUUUUUAUUUCUUAGACUAAUUUGGAAAAUCCUCCUUCAAUUUAAGCUAUUAAGCUGUAUUUCCCCUUAACAUCCUCCUCUACUAUCCCCCACAUACAUCUUAAAUCACUCAACAAAAUUCUAUCAAAUGGAACAAAUAAUAAUGGGAGAAUUUCAAUAAUUUCUAGACAAAAGCAAGAAGUAGUAUUUCAAAACUUUACCCUCCAUUUGCAAUUUCAUUGUAUGGAUUGCAAAAACUUGGAGAAUGGACACUUAUGCAGAAAGUCUUCAUAUUUACAUAAUUGGGCAUUGUUCAAAUUUGUCGAAUUAGUCAAUAAACUUCAUAAGGAUGCUACCACAAUUUACAUAAUAGGGCAUUGUUUAAAUACAUAAUGUCUUUAAAUGUAAAUGUAAAUUGCAAUUGAGACAUUUUGUCAAACACCUUGAUGGUAUCUUAGAAAAUAGAAGGAAAUGAGUGUGUCACUUAAUUUUGGAGCUAAUCCAAAAUUUAAUGACAAAUUUUUUAUGUAUUUAUCCACAAACUCAUUUCAAUCUAUGUCCAAAUCUGCUUCAAAUAUAAAUGAACGAAAAAUCUUCUCAAAUUCAACGUUCAACCUCAAAAAUAAUGUUUAUUCAAUAUGAGUGUAAUUUUUCAUGUUUGAAUUCCUUCUAUACUCCCAGAUUUUCUCUUGAAUGACUAUGAUUUAUGAUAUUAAUUUACCAAAUUUGACCAUAGAUUAAAUCGACCCAAAUAUCAACAAAGAUUUACCAAAUUCAAGCAUUUACCGUGCAAAAAAUGAUUUUUCGCUCAAGAUUCAUCCCAAAAUCACCCAUUCAUCCAAAUGGGAAACUUGCGUUAAAAUUACAAAGAAGCAACAACAUUAAAUUGGUGGGUGAGGGUUUCUAUCUACAGGAACAUUGGAAUCGAAGUCAAAGUUGGGAACGGAGGUUUCUCAAAAGUUUUUUGAUUCAGGGAUUUGCCCUUCUGGUUUGGGUUUUUGUUGUGGUUUUGAAUGUAAUUAAUACGGUAACAGUAGUUUUAGUUAGUUUUAAGGUAUUAAUUAAAUAGUUAAUUUUUUAGGGUAGUGUAUCUAAUAUUCCCAUUAUUUAGUUGCUUUUAAUGAUCCAAUUUAUUUUCGGGUUGAGCCCAUCAAUUGUGGUGUUAAAAAUCAUUUUACUUAUCAGUCAUCAUAAAAAGGGAAUUCGGUCCUAAGUUAUGUUUUUUAAGUUCAAUAUUGAUUUAGAAAAGUUAAGGGGUGACAUCGAAAAGUUUAAAAUCAAGGCCAAGGGUGAAUAUUGGAUGGAUUAGUCAAGAUAUCUUGAGAAUUGGACCAAACUAAUUUUCAUUGAGAAUAUAAAAAAUAGAAUAGCUGGUUUACAAGUAAAAAUAUAAUUGAACAAACCCAAGUUGAUCGAUUUCAAUCUGGUCCGAUGUGCCUAGAUUCUACCACAAGUGCAUGGGUCGUGACAAGUAGAAUAUGACAAAAAGAGUAUCGUUUCCAUAGGAAGGCGAUUCAAGUACUAAUUUAUAAAAUUUUCUAUAUUAUUUAGAUAAUCCCAUAUUGAUGUAACUUAUGCAAAUUCUUAACCUUUGAAAAGAAAUCAAACAAGAAAGGUUUCUAAGGUUUGGAUUUCAUCUAUCAUUNNNNNNNNNNNNNNNNNNNNNNNNNNNNNNNNNNNNNNNNNNNNNNNNNNNNNNNNNNNNNCCCAAUGAGUUUAAACCUGGUUGGUUGCAUUAAUGUUUUGCUAAUUAUGAUGACCGAAUUCCCUUUUUUUAUGCAAUAUCAUCUUUAAAGAUAUAACAACUAUAUUUAUAUUAAUCCUAUAUCUAACAAACUCCACAUUGACAUGAAUUCUACUAUAAUUAACAUAUCUUAAAAAAAUCUCCAUGUAAAACACAAAUUUCACUGCAAAAAAUAAAAUUUAAUUAUCUAAUUCAAACAAGAUUCUCCAAACAAAUUACUCCACCUCUUUUACAAAACCAUAAGGGCAAAACUCAACAAAUGUGAACUAAAUCCUAGCAUUGCUUACCAGCAUAAUUACAUUGGGUACCAAAUUUCUUUGAAUCACCACGAACAAUAAAAUAAUUAAGUUCACAAGUAACUCUAUUUGAGUAAGAAUCCAAGCACUACUCAUCCGUGGAAUUACUUUGGGCACCAAAUUUGCUUAAAUCACGAGUAACAAAAACUAGAAAUGAUAUAAUAUUCACCAAAUGUGGUAGAAACAAGGCUUGUAACAGAAUCAUCACAACUAAAUGAUUCGAUAGAAGGAUUUGACUAGAACAAUACCUUCAACCACAUUCAAAGUAUAAACAACUAAAUUAGCAUCCCUAUACCUAUGUGGAGGCCUAAUAUUAGGAAUAGGUCUGUCUCUAGCAGUUGAUACAAUGGCAUCGCUGGAAAUAGUGGCCAAGCUGAAUUAUCCAUAACUUAUAAACUCGAACAAGAUGUAAUCUUUAAUAUGGAUCCUAAAUCAAACUUCAACUAUAUGGAACCAAACUCAAAAUCGAGUCCCUAGUUUUUGUUGAAUGAACUCAAAAGAUUUUAUAGGACCAUGCAAGACAUAAUUGGGAUCUUUUUUGUCCCUUUCAAUCCUUAUGUUGCUUUUGCUCGAGCAUCCAAACAAAAAUAUAUGCAAUAACAAAAAAUCUUGUUGUGAUCUAAAAGCGGAAUAUCAAACUUCAUAUUUGCCAAUCCAAAACAAUCAAACCUCGUUCUAGUUGAUCAAACCUCAUUUUAAUACAAAACCAAACUAGUCUCCUAAGAUCUGUCGGCUCUGAUACCAAUUUGUUAGAAAUGGAGUCAGUAUUUAAGAAUUAAGUAUCGCUAUGAUAUCACUUGUUAGAAAUUAAAAAUAAUAAGGUAAUAUGAAAAGUAACGAUCACAAGAACAUAAAGAUUUUACAUAGAAUGUUAAGAUUAAAAAAAAAAAAAGAAGAAGAAGAAGAAGAAGCACGGAUAGAAGUAGAUAAUUCACAACAUCAAAAAUGAGGAUUUCAAUAAGUUUGAUCUCAAAUAACCUGUGAUAAUCAAAAUGUGUUGUGCACCACAUAUAUAAAAAUACUAAGAUUUCCUAACAUAUUAAGAGAAUAUAAUACAAUGAAGAGUUUAAUAUAAAGCAUAGUCCCAUUACAAUAGAUAAAAUCAAUAAUGAAAUGUUUAGAAUGAAAUAUGAGUAAAAAAACUACCAACUCCUGAAUUGAAUUACCACUUAAAUUUCCAAAUAAACUUCAAUUAGAAUUUUCAACUGGACUUCAAAUAGAAUUCUAAUGCUAACAGCUAUGUUCUAUCAUUUUACAAUAAUAACUUGUAAUUAUAUCCAGACACUCGUUUCAUCACUAUGUUCUAUCUUAUUAUAAUAAUAACUUGUAGUUAUAGUAAUUAUAUCCAAAUACUCGUUUUAUCACUAUGUUCUAUAAUAUUAUAAUAAUAACUUGGUAAUUAUAUCGGAAUGUCAGUUUUCUUUGAAUGUUCUUGAUAUGCAUGUCACUUUAUAAAAACGAUUAGUCUCAAUAAAAUUAUACAAUAUUCUACAUAUUCUCGACCGAUAUUUAUAAUUUACCAUGAACAUAUUUCAAGUACUUGAUUAAAAAAUCAGGGGCAGAUGUAGGGGGACUAGUGAUGACAAAAAAACUCACUCCGCCUCAAAUGGAAUAUAUAAAAAAACCGUGGCGGGGCAAGGCGGGGCGCCCCGAACUCAUUUUGAAUUUUUAUUUUAUUUUCCAAUAAUAACAUAACUCGAAAUUUUAAAAAUGUAAAAAAUUAAAUGGGAUAACAAACGGGGAAAAAGUUGCCCCAUCCCCAUCCCGCCUCGGGACAGGAUUUGGGGUGUGACAGGACUUAGGCUCGAACCUCCCCUGUUGCCAUCCCUAGGGGGACUGAGAUGGACUGUAGGGACCCAAGGCCCAAGAAUUUUUUUUAAGGCAUUUUUCAAAUUUUUAUUUUAUUUUUUCGUAUUAGCCCGAUCUUGGAAAUCUUGGAUCCCCGAUUAAAAUUGUAUUAAAAUUACAUUAAAAUUAUAUUAAAAUCCUGGCUAUUAGCAACAGUGUUUUGUAUGGAGUUAAAACUUUUCUCAUUCAGAAUUGUGUUAAGGACAUUGUUACAUGUACAUCAAACUUUAUAUAAUGGAUUACAUAAUACCACAUGUCACUAUAUCAUUUGUCAAUUUUAAACACAGUUAACUUUUUCAUCCAAUUUUCCCCCCACAUCAUUUUAUGUAAUCCUUUAUGCACAAUUUUUAUAUACAAGUAGUAUAAUCCUCGUGUUAAAACCGUCAAAAUUAUUGGAGAAAGUGAAAAGUUAAAACAUUACUAAUGGAUAGAUCUUUGCCUCGAACUAGUGAUUUCAUUCAUAGUCGCCGUUCUUUGAUUCAGUUUUCAAUUGGGCAAUUUUAUGUCAAUAAAAUCACUAUACUUUAGAAAUAUUGGCCAAUCCAGAUACUGGAGUAGCUAUUACAUACUAAUAGCCGAUUCAUCCGAUGUGAUCGUAAAAAAUGACUAGAAAUCAUUUAUACAAUUGAAAUUCUCAUUUUAUAUAGAUUUUUUUGAUUGUAUCAUAUCUUCCAAGUCAAUUUUUCAACGACAUAGAACGACUUUUAGUAUUUAAAUCAUGUAACAUUCUAACAUUAGACAUUGUGACAAAUUGAAUAAAAUGAUUUAAAUUAAAAUAAAAUUGAAGUAUAAUCACCUGAUUUAUAACAAAUUAAAGUAUGGUGUUCAAAUUAACAUUAAUUGAGAUAACCCAAUUAAAAAUUGAGUUAAAGUGCAAUCACAAUGACUACGAAUAUUUUAAUCAAAUUCGAUAAAGCACUUUCUUGAUCCGGGUUUGCCGCCCGGCCCAUCAAUUAGUUUAACUUUGGAUGGACCCGGUAAUUUACCGACGUAAGAGGUGCUUUUAUGUAAUAAUAUUCAUUCUCUCAAUAUAAUUAACCACCACGUCCGCCUCUCUUUCAUUUUUCUCCAGCGUUAACUCUUGGAAAUACCAGGCACCUGCGCAUUCUUCCAAUUCAAAAUCCUUCGCUCCGCCUCCAGUGAUACGGAUCGGGUCUCAGGUCCGUAUAAAUUCACUAGUUUCAAGAUUUUUAAUCUGAUGCAAGUUGUAACCAUGUCUUUUUUAUAUUAAUAAAUUAUGCAAAAUUUUGAUGUAUGGAAAUUAUGCUUUGAUUAAAGUUUUUCCUGUUGGAGAUUGUUUAGUUCGCUUCUUGGGCAUCUGAUGUUUAGUUUUGUGAUGUUUAAAUGAAUUAUCUGUAAUAUGGAGGGGUGAUAUUUUCUAAUGUUGAUGUUUUACCUUUCUAGGUUUAGUUUCUGGAGGCCUUCUGUGGGUUUUUUCUGUAAAGUUAAGUUUUUGAUUAGUUGACUAGGUCGUGUUAGCGCUGCUCCUUAUUAUUAUUUUUUUAUUUUUCCAACUGUUAAUGAAAACAUAAUCAUAAGAUGCGUAGUGUAAGUUUAAGAUCUUGAAAAAUUAAUGGGUUUAAACUGUUAAAAGUUAUAAACUAGCCUGAGCGGAUUGUGUGGAAAAAUAUAGGAGAUUAAUUAAUAUUCAAGAAUGUAAUUAAAUUCCCACAAAUUCUCUAAUUUGUAAUGCCAAUUGUACUUUCUUGUAUUGUGUUUACUCAUCUAAUUGUAAAAUUAUGAUUUAGAGAAUUGUUGUAAUCAGAAACAUCAGGGGUUGAUGAACUGUAGUUUAAGACUAAAGAAAAUUGAUUUGUCAUCUGAAUUGAUGUAGUAAUAUUUUUAAGUGCUGAAUUGGGAUAAAUAUUGUCAACCUUUACGCGUAUCUUUAAGUGUAUGGUAACUGACCUCAUCAUGAAAUUGUGAUUGGUUUUAUGGAAGCAGUCUUGGCGCAUUGAAGAAAAAACAUAAUUUUGUAUUUUGUUAAUAUCUCAAAAUGCCGAAAGAUAGAAGGGUGAAUUCCUCAUCUUUUGAUCGGGCUAGGGUAUCUCCUUAUGCUGGCAGCUCGAAGAUUUGUGAUCCGACGAAGUCAGAUAGAUAUUUGCCUCGUGUUGGAGAUGAAGCCGAAUGGGAAGAAGCUAGAUGCCCCAUUUGUAUGGACCACCCACACAAUGCUGUCCUGUUACUAUGUUCCUCCCAUGAUAAAGGAUGUCGACCAUACAUGUGUGACACAAGUUCCAGACAUUCAAAUUGCCUUGAUCAGUUUCGCAAGUCAUCUAGUGCAUCAUCACCUGCUCCAUUUGCUACUCCACGAGAAGAUGUCUCGGCACCACGGGUGGCAACUCGCAGACACAGAGGGGAACAACCGUUAUCUAGGCCAAUCAAUUCCCUUGAGGGAGAGAAACCUGUGUUUGUCUGCCCCCUUUGCCGGGGAAAGAUCACUGGAUGGCUUUCUGUGGAGUGUGCACGGAGGUUCAUGAACUCCAAACUGAGGAGCUGCUCUUCAGAAAAUUGUAACUUCAGUGGAAAUUAUUCUGAGCUAAGAAAGCAUGCCAGGCUUGAGCACCCUUCUGAUCGACCAGCUGAGGCCGACACCCAGCGGCAAUCUGAGUGGAUGAGGUUGGAGCGACAAAGAGAUCUUGAGGAUGCACUUAGUGCAUACCUGCCAGAUCUUGACUUUGACUUGGGUGACUUGGACGAAUUGCCUAGCUUUGAUGAAUGGGAUGGAGAUGGUCUGUGGAAUGAUCGAAAUUUUUUUGACUUCGUAGGUGGACUUACAGAGGACGGGGAUGAACCGAGUGAAGACAACAAUAUAUUUACUGAUCUAGAGGUUGAGUUUUCUUUCUCUUUCCUUGAGUAUCUAUCUUAUCCUGAGAUAGAAGCAACAGAUUCUGGUACUUCAAUAAGUAACGACAGAGUACGUAACAGGAGACAGAUUAAUUCUAGGUCAAGUUAUCCCACUGAAAACAGCUUAACAGGUUCAAGGCCUAGAUCAAAUCAUCAUAGGGAAAAUGUGCCCCCAAGUUUAAGAUCGAGUUAUUAUGAAGGAAAUACCCCGGCAAGUUCGAGGCCAACUUACCUUGGUAGAUACGCACCAACAAGGGCAAGGUCAAGGUCAGGUUAUCAUAGGGCGAACAGAUCCCCUGUGAGGUCGAGUACGUCAGGGAGGCAAAUGCCUGGCUCUUCACAAUGGCACCAAUCAAGUCGGAGAUCCUGAGGAUCGCGAAUCUAGUUUGUUUUACUGUGCUUCUUUUACUGUUUGAUGGGUCUCUAGCUGUAGUUUACAUUUCCUGUUUUGAACUCUUAAAAGCUUUCCCUAUGAUUUAGUUUUCGGUCAUAAUUCAUGCGGUCACACUUGUACGAGUUUGUAAAGAAGUUCUCUAUUUAUCAGUUGUGAUCAUACGACUAAGAAACUGACUCACACAUCCGCCCAAAAAAAAAGAAAAAAAAGAAACCCACCCCCACCCCCCCCCAAAAAAAAAAAAAAAAAAUGAUAAAAAAGAUAGUAUUUAAUUAAGUAAUUUGGAUUAAUGAUCAAUUGAAUUUUAUUUAUUUAUUUAUUUAUUUUUCCUUUUUCGUUUUAUUCAAUGUAGCAUAACAAUGUGACAUGAUAGUCAAUAUGGUUGUUUUUUUUUUUUUUUGGAUAACAUACGACCAGAGAGAGAAUGUUAGUACGGGUAGAAACUUAGGUGUAGAAAUGUAAAUUUAUCUCGGCAGCCCCAUUGACGACGUAUUCUACUCGUAGAAAAUUGACAUUGACCAAAAAUUGCCUUGAAGUUUCAUGUUCGGAAUCGUCGGUCCAACCAAAUCCACAUUCUUUGUGCCUAACGGUAGAUGACGUUGACUAUUUAUUGAUUUUAAUUUUAUUUAGCAAUAUGAUAGAUGUUCAAUUGUUAUGGGUUUAACCCAUCACUGAGGUUAAAUAAGGUCUGGUUUGUGCAAUUUUCGGAAAAUUAGGAAUCACUUUGAAGUUUUGUACGGUUAUAGGUAAAGAACAUGGAUUAUGAAAUUGGUAAAAUAACUAAAAAUAAAGGGUAUUUUCAUCUUUGCUCGGUUCGCUUCAAAUCGGUUUGGUCAAGGUCAACAGAGUAAAUCUAGCCUCUUGAUCAGGGAUAAGGAGGCCAAUGAGGUGUUCGGGUAUUUAGGCCAUUUUCAGUGUUGGACCAAAUUUUGCAUCAAAUUUUGUAUCAAAUGUUAUACUAAAUUAAAAUUUAUUUUCAACCAUUACAUCGAAAGAACAGUGUUUUAUUAUUUUAUUCAUGAUUUCGAUUUUUGACAAUGUAUUUAUUUAUUUAUUUUAUAAUUAUAUAAAUUACUAAAUCAUAACUAGGUUAAAUUAACAAAUAUAUUAAAUUGACGAAAAUAAUUGAUUAUAUUAUUAUAAACAAUUAUGUUAAAUUUACAAAAAUAAUUACUGAAUUAAAAAAUCUUAAUUAUUAUUGAUUAUAUUAUUAAAAAUAAUAAACUUUAACAAUAUAAUUAUUAUUAUUAUUAUGAUCAUCAUCAUCAUCAUCAUUAUUAAUAUUAUUAUAGAACGAAAAUGACACAAAUACCCUUAACCAUUAUCUUUGAAAAAUGAAAAAUGGGCAAAAUGGACAUUGCAAAAUGGUGUAAUAGUUGGAAGGAGGUUUGGACCAAAUUUUGGUGCAACGUGGUGCACAUUGGAGAUGCCCUCAUAAUGUUGCAAAAAUACAUAUAUAAUCUUAAACAGAUAUGCAUAUUAUAUUUGGAGUAAUGCUAUUUGUAAAUCAUUAUAUACAGAUAUAGUCAUUAUAUUUAUAUCUGGAGUAAUGCUAUUGUACAUAUAUAAUCAAGAGAGAGAGAGAGAGAGAGAGAGAGAGAGAGAGAGAGAGAGAGAGAGAAGGAAGCCAGUUAAUAUAAUUCAUGUUAUAAAUUUGUACACAAUGAUGUACAAAUUGUAAGCACCUAACUUUUGACGCCAAUUGGUCCCUCGAAUGUUCAUUAGUGACAUUUUGGGCAAAAACAUGAACCACUUCAUUGGUAAAUGAUCAAAAGUUUUGGGACUUUACAGUAAUUUUUUAGUUAGAUGUAAAUCAAAAUCAGUGACCUCUUAACAUCCCCUUACCCAUAAAAAAGACAGUUGUCCUCAAAUGCAUAGUCAGGAAAUUGAUAAUUAACUCAAUCUCAACCUAAGAUUUGCUGUCCCAUCCUGUUGUUUCGUUGAUUCUCUUCUACUAAUAUUUUGACACCUCUAUCUAAAUCUUCAAGGUGUUAAAAUUUUAGCGGAACAUAGUCGAACGUGUCAACAUUUUUUGGGCUUAUAAUAUUUUCACGUUUCAGAAUUGUAGAUGUAGUAAGGAAUAGUCAACGAGAUGGAAAAUAUAAACAAUUUUUUUUUCUUCUCCUUUUCCCUUGGGAUGAUCUAAAAUAGCUAGAUGACACAUACGUCUUCAAAUUUAUUGUUGAAAUUACAAUAAUCAGCACUAUACUGGAUGUUUGAUAUACCAAUAUACUGGAACGACAAUGCAAUUCUUUUUCCUAAAGGUCUAAUAAAAUAUAUAUUUUCAAAAUACAAAAGCGUACUAAUUUGAAUUUUUUUUCUGUUGGUAAACUUUCAUACAGUCAAAUACUUACUACCAGAAAGCAAACUAUUAAAAUCAAAUUGAAUAAUGAUUUAUUUUUGUAAUUGCAAUUUAAUAUAAUUUUCUAUCCAGUUGUUUGAAAAAAUAAAAAUAAAAAUAAAAAUUGACAAUAAUAUCGGAAAGACCUUAAUGCAAGUCCCAACAGGUGCCUUGGCCCAGCCACCUGUUCACAAAACCGUUGAGUUUCACAAGUGCAAAGAUGUGUUUAAGAGCAAGCUUGGAAUUCACAUGAAUAAUAAUAAUAAUAAUAAUAAUAAUAAUAAUAAUAAUAAUAAUAAAAAUAAAUUUAGGCUAUUAAAUUGUCUAUAAUUUAUUUGCAUAGAAAUUGUCAAUAAAUGUAUUUGAUUGAUUUAAUUUUCAAUUUAACAAAUGUUAUAGUUGUUCAUUUUUUAUUGGUGAGUAGUUGAGAGAGAAAGGAUAUAGAUGAAAGAAAAAUUACUUAGAAGAUGAAAACCUAUUCUCCCGAAAGAAAAUGCUUUCCUCGUUUUCAAGGAACACAUGGUCAUGUUUUUUCAUAAAAAAUAUAUCAAUCAAACAGUAUAAAAGUAGAAAUUUGAGUGAAAAAUGACAUUUUUCAUUAAAAAAUAUUGACAAUCAAAUACAUCUUAAGUGUAAAUAUAUUCCCACCACAAUUUUUUAUCAAUUACACCACAUUUUAAUCACAAUGACUAUCUCUAAUCUUAUUUUUUUUUUAUACUUAUGUUCUCAAUUGUUUUCAAUUUUUUUCAAGGGAAAAUUGCAACCGAGGUAACAAACCUUUCGUUUAUUAGCAGACUUUACCCCAAACCUUUCAUUUGUGUCAUUGGAGGUACCAAACCUUUCAAAAAUUCGCACCCGAAGUCCAAAUGAAUGGGAACCGUCUAUUUGACCGUUAGUUGACCAAGAAAAGUAAAUUUUGACCGAUUUUGACCAAAUUGAAAUGGGUAAAAUGGUAACUUGAUAAUUACAAUAUUAAAUAAAUUGAACAAAAAAAAAAUAAAAAAAUCAAGAAAAAAUCAAAAAAUUAAGAAAAGAAAUUACAAAAGGGUUGUCUUCUUCAACCUCCCCGCCCCAUCCCACCCCACCCCACCCCACCAUCUUUGUCCCCAAUUGCGUGGGUCUACAGUUUCUUCCAGCAAAAUUACAAACCUUUUCCACAGAUUUUAUCAUUUUUUCAGGCUUCCUCUUCCUCUUCUUUUAUUGGUCUAAAUAGCGUUGAUUUUUUUCUACACUACCCCUAGAAUUUGGUUUCUGGGCACCAUUUUAUGGCCAAUGCUCCCAUGGUACCUGCAACUACCGGCUUUCCUAUUUCAAACAAGACCAAAUUAACUACUUAUCAAGAAUUUGAUAGGCUUAAUGGAUAUCCAAGGAAACAAACAGUUAAAAAGGAUAGGCAUAGCAAAAUAAUUACAGCUCAAGGUCCAAGGGAUCGAAGAAUGAGGCUAUCCAUUGGUACUGCACGUAAGUUCUUUGAUCUUCAAGAAAUGCUAGGUUUUGACAAACCAAGCAAAACCCUUGAUUGGCUGCUUACGAAUUCGAAAAUAUGGCGGGGUGGGGCGGCGUGGAGAGGUUGAAGAAGACAACCAUUUUUUAAUUUCUUUUCUUAAUUUUUUGAUUUUUUAUUGAUUUUUUGAUUUUUUUUGUUCAAUUUAUUUAAUAUUGUAAUUAUCAAAUUAUCAUUUUACCCAUUCCAAUUUGGUCAAAAUAGGUCAAAAUUUAAUUUUCUUGAUCAACUAACGGUCAAAUAGACGGUUUCUAUUCAUUUGGACUUCAGAUGCGAAUUUUUGAAAGGUUUGGUACCUCUAGUGGCAUAAAUGAAAGGUUUGUGCAAAGUCUGCUAAUAAACGAAAUGUUUGGUACCUCAGAUACAAUUUUCCCUUUUUUUAAUCACUAACCCUAUAUUAUUUUUAUAUUUUGUCCAUAAAGAUAAUUUUCAUCCAAAAUAUUUAUUACAAAGGCCAAAAUACGUAUUUAUCUCUCGCAUUUUUAAAUAAUCAAAAUAAAUAACUAAUACAAAAGUUAAACAAAAAUGUAUUCAUCUUUUCAAUGCAAGUUAGUAGAAUAUUUGAGUGAAAAUAGACGGUUUCUAUUCAUUUGGACUUCAGAUGCGAAUUUUUGAAAGGUUUGGUACCUCUAGUGGCAUAAAUGAAAGGUUUGGGCAAAGUCUGCUAAUAAACGAAAUGUUUGGUACCUCAGAUACAAUUUUCCCUUUUUUUAAUCACUAACCCUAUAUUAAUUUUUAUAUUUUGUCCAUAACGAUAAUUUUCAUCCAAAAUAUUUAUUACAAAGGCCAAAAUACGUAUUUAUCUCUCGCAUUUUUAAAUAAUCAAAGCCACUGGAGGUACCAAACCUUUCAAAAAUUCGCACCCGAAGUCCAAAUAGAUGGAAACCGUCCGUUUGACCGUUAGUUGACCAAUAAAAUUAAAUAUUGACCAAUUUUUGACCAAUUGAAAAGGAUAAAAAGGUAAAAGUUACUUAACCCUAUAAUAAAACAAUUAAAAUAAAUAACUAAAAUAUAAAAAAAAAAUUUACUAUUCAUCUUCUUCUUCACCCACCCACCCCCACCCGCACGCCACCCUACCCCACCCCAUCCAAAACCAAAAAUAGAAAUUAAACAGCCGCCUUCUUCUUCAACCUCCCCUCCCCACGCCAUCGCACCCCACCCCACUGGCUCUUGCCCAAUUAGCAAUUCAAGAAUCACAACCCCAAAAGCGUAAACGUCGAAUUUCUGGUGAUUGUCUUUUACUCCAAAAAUCCUCCUGAGCCUCCUCAAGUCGGAAAAGAACCCCAUUUCAGCUCUCCACUUGUUUGACUCGACGACUCACCACCCGAGUUACACCCACACUGACGCUGUUUUGUACCACAUCCUCCAUCGCCUCUCCCUUUCGACCGAUUCGAAACUCCUCCCUCACGUGAUACGGAUAGUUGAUUUGAUCCGAACGCAGAAAUGUCUUUGCUCAAAAGACACGGUCCUGGUUGUUAUGAAAGCUUACUCGAAAAAUUCAAUGGUAGACAAAGUAAUGGAACUCUUCCAAAAAAUGAGGGAAAUUUUCGGGUGUGAACCCGGGGUGAGGUCUUAUAAUACUCUGCUGAAUGCAUUUGUGGUUUCGAAUCGAUUGAGUAAAACCGAGUUGUUCUUUAGGAAUUUUGAGACAAAGGGCGUUGCACCAAAUUUAGAAACUUCAGGGGCGCGUGAAAGAAAAAGACAAUCACCAUUGUUGAGGGGAAGGGGACUCCGGCAGCUGAUGCUACAAUGGUCGGAGAGAGAAAUGAAUUGAGGGAUCAAGUUGAUUGGAGAUUGUGGUGGCGACCGCCCAUGGAAUUGGGGUUGGGUGUGGUGGCGUGGGGUGGGGUGGGUCGGGGUNNNNNNNNNNNNNNNNNNNNNNNNNNNNNNNNNNNGGGGUGGGGUGAAGAUGAACAUGAACAGUAUUCCCUUUCUUUUCUUUGAUUUUUAUUUAUUUUGUUUUUACUUUUCUAUUGUUAUUAUUAAUUAUUUUAAUUAUUAAUAUAAAGAAAAAAUGCAAAGUACCACUUUGCUCUUUUUAAUUUGGUCCAAAUUGAUCAAAUUUUGACUUUUCUAGUCAACUAACGGUCAAGUGGACGGUUUUCAUCCAUUUGGAGUUCGGGUGCGAAUUUUUUAAAGGUUUGGUACCUCCGGUGGCACAAACUAAAUGUUUGGGCAAAGUCUGCUAAUAAACGAAAGGUUUGAUACCUCGACUGCAAUUUUCCCUAAUUAAAAUGUUGGGCAGAUAUAAAAAAUUGUUGCAUGAAUAUAAUUAUCCUUUGACUAAUCUACAACAUAUUAGAAGGGUGAAUUGAGGAGAAACUUUUGAAUAUCAAUUUCACCCUUACAUAUUUACCUAUAUGUCUAAUAUACUCUUAUUUAAUUUUAAUUUUAGUUUUUUUAAUAAUUAAUUAACAACUUUAAUUCAAUUUAUUCAAUAAUAUAUUAGAAAAUCCAUUUUCUUUUCCAUUUGUCAAUAGUUCCCUAAAUUAAUGUUACAUUAAUUUUCAUUAGCAUUAAGUCAAUAUAUAUAUAUAUAUGCUCAAUAUACAUUUAUUUAAUUUCAAUUUUGUUAAAAACUUAUUAAUAACAUUAAUUCAAUUUAUUCAACAUCAAAUUAAAAAAUCCCUUUUCUUUUUUGAUUUAUAUAUAAUUCCCUAAAGAAUUAAGAUUUUUUUCUAACAUCAUUAAGGUAUUAAUCUUCCAAUAAUGAGUUACAUUUCCUACGAAAGAAUAGUUAUUUCACAAAAGAAAAAAAAAUAAAAAAAAUAAAAUUGAAAGGUUGUAUUAACCAUAUUCACAUUGGUAUUAAACUUUAUGACUUACAUUCACGUCAAGUCCAAUAUGCCCUCAUUUAGUUUAUAAUUUGUAGUCAUUAUUAUUAUUAUUAUUAUUAUUAUUUAUUUAUUUAUUUAUUUAUUUAUUUAUUAUUAUUUUUUUUUAUCAACUAUGUCCUUAUUUAAUCUUCCUAAUUUUAUGGGAAAAAUUGCAAUUGCAGUCUUUAACCUUUCUUCUGCGAGCAUUCUACGUUUUUAGCUAUCUUCUCAUAUCUUUAAACUUUGCUUUAAGGGGCAUAAGCUCGUAGAAUAAAUUUUUAACACUCGUUUCAAUAUUUUUCUUACUCGACAAAUAGUCCCCUAAGUUUGAGUGUAAUUAUUCACAUUCAGGCAAUGAACAUGAAGUCUUAUUCUUUCUUAGUUUUAUUUUUGUAGAUUUAAUGGUAAUUAGUGGUCGAUCAGAUGGAAAGUUUUCCAUCUUUUCCGACAAUUAACGCGUGAUCAGAGGGAGCAUCCUUUUGAUUUGCUCCAUUUAAUGUGCAUGUCAUUCAUUUCUUUGGGAUUUAAUGGCUGGGAUACAGACGCCAUGCUAUCAAUGGCUUAUAUUCUUCUUUACUAUAAGAAAUGUGUUCUGAUAUUCUCAUUUCUUCUCUAAUAAUCAUUUUAAAAUUUGUUAAUGAUUUUUAUUACCUUUACUGAUUUUACUGUAUUUCCCUGAUAAAUCCCUCUUAACUUCUAUAAAAAUAUCUCAUAUACUUGGGAAAGUCUCUGAGAUUAACUUGUCUUUCUUCUACCAUGUUACAGUCGAACAUCUAAGACUUCGAUUGUUUGUGUAUAUGAUUCAAAAGUUGGCAGAAAAUGAUAUAAAAGCUGGCAAAUUUGUCAUAUUUUUGCAGUUUUCAUGUGUGUGCAUCUGAGGGAGAUCGCUUAUGGUGGAAAGGUGGUAACAAAAAUCCAACUUCAAUAAAAAUGGCACGUCUCUUGUCUUAUGUCACCCGUGAACAUAUGUGAAAUCUCCGGCCAAACAAAGCAAAAGAAUGAUAAAGCACAACACCUACUAAUAUUUUUUCAACUAUUUGGACCUAACUUUUGUAGAGAACAAUAUGUUGUACCCGAAUUGACACAAUUGAUAGGGUACUUUGCAGUUGUUUGAAAAUACAAUUCAAUAUCUCAAUACAUCUUCUUUCAAACAGUCUAAACUUUUAGAUGAGAUAAUUGAAUACACAAAAUAUGCAGAGAUUUCGAGUCCAAAUUGCACCAUAAUCGAUUUACAAAAGUUUUGCCACAAGGUCUUCAGUGAAUAAAUGAAAGCGAUUUUGACAUAAAUUCCAAGUCUUGAAGUAUUCAAAUUAAUCAACAUAUCACCUAUCUAUUGGGUGGUUAAACAAAUGAAUAAAGCUAUAUGUACAAAGUGAGGAUAAAUCCCUAUAGGAGUUGGUAUAAAACAAUAAGGCAAAUGAAGUAGGUCUCAUAUCCAAAUAUUUAAUUGACUUUAUCUUCUCACCUCACAUCGCAUGGAGGUGAUCGAUUAUGUGUGUGCCAACACGAGUGACUUCAAGAGCAUGUCAAAUAUCAUAUGCCGAUUCACAUGUGCUUUUUUUUUUAUCAAAUUCAUUUCUAUCAAGUGCACAAUAAAUCAAAUUCUUAGCCUUGGAAUUUAAGGAUAAUUUUUUCUUAUCUUCUUCAUCAUAUACUUCCCUAGUUUUAGAAAUAGUUUGGAGUCUACCAUCUAUUUUAAUAGUUUUAGUAGGAACAUAUGGACCGAAUUCGAUAACUUCCCAAUUAUAAUCAAUUUAUUGCACAUAUAUCAUCAUACUAGCCUUCCAAUAAUUGUAGUGUGUGCCAUCAAAGAAGGGGGGUUGAUUAGUGGAGUCUCCCUCAAGAGUUUGAAAAACUUGGUUAGCCAUUACUCAAGAUUGUAAAUUUUUUUGAAGGCGAGUACCUUGCUUUAAUACCAAUUGAAAGCCUAAGAACGAUUAACCAUGAGAGGGGUGGAUGAGUUAUUUAAAUCUUUUUUGAAAUAAAAUGAAAAUUUAAGCAAAUACUAAGUAAUCAAGAUGUGAACAAAAUAACACAAGUAACAUAAGUAAAAGGGAGGGAAAGGCACAAAUGAUGUAAUAAAGGGAUUCAAUCCAAACCACGAUCUAUGUACCCUUUUGCAAAACUCCCUGUCACGAACAAGGCCUUUGUCACUAAAUUUGAUUGACUUGUAGCGCAAUCCAACCCUUACAACACUUCCAGUGACUUACAACCAAGAAACACCAAUCCUUUUACACCGUUGAGCUUUUUGGGAUCUCAACAGACCCAAAAUCCAAAAACAAAAAACGAAAUUACAAUUAAAAGUUUCUCUCUUAAUUAAUGAUAUGAACUUAAUUAAGAGUCAAGAGAGAAGUAGGUUCAACACUUCAAUAACUCACAAAGAAUAUAGUUCAAGUGUUGUCUGAAAAACUUUAAUUGAGAUAUAUGAUUUUUGCAAAGUUUGAUUACUCAAAAAGUUUUUUAAGAAAUAAAUAAUUUGAUAUUCUAAAGAUUGGAAACAAGGUGAAAAAGAUCAAUAAAUAACUCUUAAAUGCUCAAUAAAUGGUUGUUGCAAAUGAGGUAGAGAAAGGGGUAUUUAUAGCCAUCAAAUGGUCAAAAAAUAUGUCAAUCCGAAUAUGGGAUCUGGAUGGGUAACUAGCUGUUUGAAAAACGAUCAUAAAUUCGACUGUUGGAAUUGCCCAUCCUAAUUUUUCUUCUUCAUAAUGAAUUUUCUCUAAGGUACUUGAAGGAUAUUGGUAUUUAUUUUGUAUAUAUAAGUAUGUAUGUAGAGAUUUAAUCAUGAAAAUCGAAUACUUAUCUUUUGAAAAUGAUUUUUAUGCAAGUAUAGUUUGUCGUGAAAAAGUGUCGUGCAUAAAAACCGUUUGAGUUAUAGUCGAUGCGAAAUAUUGAAAAGUUAUACCUUUACAUUUGAGUACAAAAUGCAUCUAUCUCUAAGGUCUUCAAUCUUUUCUUCCAUUGCAAUGUUUAAUGCGGAGACUCGAUUUCCAUUUCCAUGUUUGUCAAUCUUCAAUCUUGCUUGUGCAUUGAUUGUUUGGCACCAAAGUUUGUUCAUCCAUGUGCAUGAGUCUUGAUCUCGAUUCUCGUGUUUUCAUUCUUUGAUAAUUACUAACAACACUUAAAUUCAAUUUGUUAAAAUCAAACGCAAUUUGUUUAUGAUAAUCAAAAUGAGAAGUCAACCAUUAGGUUAACACAUUGCGCAAGAGCUGCACAAUGAAUAGCAACCACCACCAUCAAACCUACACCUAAAACCAAAAUCCCCACCUCAACAUUUUUGUAAAUUAAGCUAUUGAUUGUUAAAAUUUUGAGGCUGGAAAUCAUAGAAAAAUGUUCUAGUUUCGAGGCCGAUUUUACUCGCUAAGAAAAUGGAAGAAAACAACAAGUUCUUAGUCUCAGCCGAUACUAGGCUUUUAUUAUUGCUUAUUGUAGCUCUAGGCAAUAAACAAUUGGUGAGCGGUCUUUAGGUUUUGGAGAAAUUUUUUCAAUUUUGUUAUAUAAUUUUACAAUAGUCAGUAAAAACUAAUUCAGUAUAAGGACGAUGGGUGUAUGAUUGGAUUUUUUAGGAUGGGGUGUGAGAAGGAUAUUUUUUUACAACAGUAUUCUGUGAUUGGUUAUUUGACAGUGGUAUUGGCGAUAGGUGGUGGCGCUGGUGGCCAAUUUUAGGGGAAAAGAGGAUAAGGUCGAGUGGGGGUAGGGCGAGGAGACUGAAGGAGACAAUUUUUUUCCUUAAUUUUUUUUUUGUUUUUUAUUAUUUUUUUAUCCUAGUUUUUUGAUUUUUUUUUAGCUCAUUUGUUUAAUAUAAUAAUUAUCAAGUUAUUAUUUUACCCUUUUUAAUGUGGUCAAAAUUUACUUUUUUUUGGUCAACUAAUGGACAAAUAGAUGAAAAAUAUUUGUUUGGAUCUCUGCUGCAUAUUUUCAAAAGGUUAGGGACCUUUGAUGACAAAUUGAAGGUUAUGGUAAAAUCUGCAAAAAGGUGAAAGAUUAAGGACUGUUGCUGCAAUUUUUUAUUUUUUUUUUCAUUAAAACCAAAAUUUACAUGUAACUUAAAUACAUAAUAAUAUUUAAAGACGUUGAGGCAUUGAGUUGAUGAGUUUAAAUUCAAUAAUUGGGUAAGCUUUUGAUCCAUUGUCCUAAUUUUCAUUGAUAUGGUCUAGAUCAUUACUAGAUAAUCACAAUAUUUUAAUUUCUUUUUGAGGACAUUAAUUCAUACAUUUAGUGAGACUUGCAAGCUAAUUCGAUCCAUCUUCCCAAUUUUGGUUUAUUUAGUUUAUAUCAUCUUAUUAGUAGAUAAUAACUUUCUUACCCUUCCAUCUCCUUAAUUUAUAUCCCACGGAAACAUGCUUUUAUAGGCCAAAAAUUAAUGAAUUUCUAAUGAUUCUCUGCUCUUUCCCCUCUCUCCCUUAAAUUAUUAGCAACCAUACCAAGAUGAUAAAUGAAGAAACGCCACCAAAACGAAUAUGAACUUUUUAGCAGAGCUAUUUUGGAUUGUAUUUCUUUAAAAAUGCGAGUUUUUUGCGAAUGUUCAAACCAAAUUAGUAGUGAACACAACAUAAUGCAAAACUAAUUAGUUAAUACAAUUUACAAUCCAAUUAAUUGCAUAUUUGGGUGCCUUUUUUGGUACCUUUUAAUUAUUAUGUUUUAAUGGACGAAGAUUCAUUAUCCAUAAGGAUGGUUGGUUCUAUUAGUAAACUAAAACAUUUUAGUGCAUUUGUUCAAAUUUUCAGUGUGUACUUUAAAAAAAUAGUAUUAGUUUUUCAAAAACAUUACAUACAUGAUUCAUUGGAUACAUAAGACGUGUAACACACAUACUUACUACUAGUGUAUUUAAAAAGAAGAAAGAAGUUAUCCAAUGUUUUCAAUUUGACCCGAAAUAGAAAAGCAAUAAGUUGACAACAGCUCUACAAUUUGUAAAUACGUCGAAAUGCCCUCUAAUGCUUAUAGACUUUACCAUGAGCCAGAUUUAUACUCAUUGUGGUCAAAUUGGUCUUGGUCUCACAAGUCGAUAGGUUGAACACAACGAGCUAUUAAUACUAGCAAAUUUUAUAAAGCUUAUCUCGACUAUAUCAUCAUGACCAACAAAUUUCUUUCAUUUAGCCAAGAUUUCUUCUCCUAAACUCUCUAGUUUCGAUGUUCAAACAUGUAUGAAUUUCCAUGCCCUCCUUCUUUUAGGCGAAAGUAUUUAUAGAUAUCCUUUGAAGAGCUUAGGGCAAUUGAAUUAUUUUAGAAAAUAAUAGGUGGCUAUUGUUUAAUGAUGGGUUUAUAAGCAUGUAUUUUGAUAACAAUUCAGCCAACCUGAAAGAAUGAAUGUUCGUCCCUUCCUUCUGUGAUACGUUUUUAGCUAUCUUCUCAUAUCUCUAAACUUUGCUUUAAGGGGCAUAAGCUCGUAGAAUAACAUUUUAACACUCGUUUCAAUAUUUUUCUUACCCGACAAAUAGUCCCCUAAGUUUGAGUGUAAUUAUUCAUAUUCAAGCAAUGAAGUUAAAGUCUUGUUCUUUCUUAAUUUUAUUUUCGUAGAUUUAACGGUAAUUAAUGGUUGAUUGGAUGGAAAGUUUUUAAUCUUUUCUGACAACUAGCAAUAAGUACGUGCAAAACACGUCUUAUGUAUCAGGUGAAUUAUAUACAUACAAUUUUUUAAAAGUUGUUGAGAUAAUUGAUAUUAUUAAAGAAAAAAGUAUAGUUAUUAAAUAUAAUAAAUAUAUCAUAUUUGAAUAAAACUUUUUAUGGAAAUGUGUAUAUAAUGUCAAAAUACUGAAUAAAAUGAAAUAUAAUCUUUUAAUUACAAUAACACUUCUUCGAAUACAAUAUAUUUUUUUAAUCAACGUCUCACGACUUUUCAUUCUGUAUUUGUAGUUCACAUAAAUACAAAUAUGUAAAUCAUAUAAAAAUAUCCAUACAUAUACAAAUUAUUGAAACACAAACUCAAUUAAUCUACUAUUAUAUUAAUGCAGACCUUUACAUAGUGUAAUAUUUUUUUAUGAAUAUGUAUUAUAUAUAUUUAGCUUCAAUUUCAAGUAAUUAAACUUAAAUUGAUUUAUCUAAAAUAGUCUAAUGUAAAGCAAUGAAAUUUAUAUUUUAAAGGAGAUAAAAUGAAGUAGAGUUAUAUUAAAUUUUGGACUUAAAAAAUAAUUGAUAAUUAGUAACGAUUAUUAUACAUUUAAAAUUAAAAGCGCGAUUGUCAAAGAUAAAAUAUAGAAGGGUGGAAAUGGAAAUUAAAAGUUUUCCAUACCAAAGUUUCAAUUAUUGACAUUAUCGUUUUAAAACUAUAUAUAUAAUGUUAACAUUUGAAGCAUUUCUAUUUUAUAUCAUGUUCAUAAAUGUUAAAAUUUUUACAAAUGAAUGUAAAUAAUGUAAACCAAUAAUGUUCUUAAUCAUGUUUAUGUUGAGGAUUUAAAAUUUCAAUAGUUAUUAUUCAAAUAAUUAGUUACUUACUAUUCAGUUUUGAUGAACAAAAAAAAUACUAUUAUCUAUUUCUUUAAGGGUAAUGAAUGUGAUUUUAUUUCUGUGAUUAUUUGAUUUCUUUAAAAAAUUUUGACCUCGAUUUUCCCUUGUGGUUAUAUGAUUUUCACUCUCAUUGCAAGUAUUUUCAGUUUUUUCUUAUUUCAAUAAAGGUAAAUCAAGACAAGAGCACAUGUUCAAUAAUGAUUAAAAAAUAUUAUUACAUACUAUUGUUUUCUGAAAAAAAAAUAUUUAUAUAAUUUCUUUUAAUUGUAUGUGAUAAUAAAUUUAUUAAAUAAUUAUUAAUAAUUGUGUUUAGUGGAAAUUAACUGACUUUAUUUGCUAAAGCAAUAAUAAUUAGUAAUUAUCUUAUUUAGAGAAAAUAAAUUGAAUCAUUUGGUAUUUUGUAGUUAAUUAUCUAUGUACUAUUAUUAUUUCUUUUAAUUGUAUGUAAUAAUAUUUCUAUUAAUUGUGUACAAAUAAUUGUGUUUAAUGGAAAUUAAUUGACUUAAUUUUCAAAAGCAAUAAUAAUUAUUGAUUAUCUUAUUUAGAGGAAAUAAGUUGAAUCAUUUGGAACAAAUUUUAAGUAAGGGUAAAUAAUAAAUAUAGCAUAUUAAUGCAACCUCUCGUUUUUUUUUUUUUAAUUUUCUUUUUGUAAACCAAAUGAGGGUAUAUUGGACAUAUAGGUAAAUGUGUAACGGUAUAAUUGGUAUUCAAAAAUUUAUCCUCAAUCCACACUUUUAAUAUAUUGUAGAUUAACGCGUGAUCAAAGUGAACGUCCUUUUGAUUUGCGCCAUUUAAUGUGCACGUCAUUCAUGCCUGCCUAGUGCCGUUUGCUUAUAUGCCAUUUCGAAUUCAAUGACUUGCUCCAUUUAAUGUGCAUGUCAUUCAUUUCUGUUGGGAUUUAACGGCUGGGAUACAGACGCCAUGCUAUCAAUGGCUUAUAUUCUUCUUUACUAUAAGAAAUGUGUUCUGAUAUUCUCAUCUCUUCUCCAAUAAUCAUUUUAAAAAUUGUUAAUGAUUUUUUAUUACCUUUACUGAUUUUACUGUAUUUCCCUGAUAAAUCCCUCUUUAACUUUUAUGAAAAUAUCUCAUAUACUUGGGAGAGUCUCUGAGAUUAACUUGUCUUUCUUCUACCAUGUUACAGUCAAACAUCUAAGACUUCGAUUGUUUGUGUAUAUGAUUCAAAAGUUGGCAGAAAAUGAUAUAAAAGCUGGCAAAUUUGUCAUAUUUUUGCAUUUUUCAUGUGUGUGCAUCUGAGGGAGAUCGCUUAUGGUGGAAAGGUGGUGGACCUGAUUGGCUGCUGCAAUAUGAGCUAUUAAACAGUCAUGUUCCAUUUCACCAAACUUGAUUUUACCAAAACAAUUUCAGCCUGCCCCUCAUCUUUCGGCUUAAACGACCCUCGAAGAUAGAAACUACGAAUGUGUCGAGUAGAUAGUCCACAAAAUAUGUCUUCUAGCUAGUUUAUCUUGUACAUGCUAGAUAUAAUUCGAAACUAUGUUUGCCUUGUAAUCCUUCUUUAUAUCAAUGAAGUAUCUAUUUAUUAUAUUUGCUAUGCUUAAGAACACAGCAAGAAUUUAAUCAAUCAACUUUGUUCAGUUCGCACAGUAAGAAUUCUCAUAACCAAUUUUAUUUAACUAGUGUCUCAUUGAUAAUACUUUCUCAAGUACAUACCUUUCGAAAGAUGUUAAGAGGUCACACAUCCUGUCCGGCGAGCUUCUAUGUAUUUUAUCCGACAACCUUGAUUUUUGUAUGCGGUCCUUCCCAUUUUGGACCUAACAAACUAGAGCUCUUUUCCUUAUUUGCAACGAGUACUUUCUUUAGUACUAAGUCCCCCACAUUGGAAUUUUUGUGUGAAAUUUCUUUAGUACUAAGUCCCCUAACAAAUUGUUUUAUUCACCUCCUCUACUUGUCCAUUAUCGUAAGGGUAAUAUGGAGUGGAGAAGUGUCGUCGGAUCUCCAACUUGUCCCACAUUGCUUUCAACUUUUUCCAUUGGAUUUACACACCAUUCCUCGAGAUUAUAGAGUUUGGUACUCCGAACCGACAGAUUAUAUUUUUUCAUAUGAAUUUGCAAGUAUUAGCUUCAGUGAUAUUUGCGAUGGGUUCUACUUUUGCACACUUAGUGAAGUAAUCUACUAUCAUGAUUAUAAAUUUCCUAUUUGAUUUUCUUCUGGCAAUGGCUCGAUGAAGUCAAUACUCCAUUUUGCAAAACGUUAAGGGCUACUGCUAGUUACUAAUUCUUGUACGGGUUAUCGCGAUAUGAAUGAACUUUUGACAUUUUUUGCACUUUCUAGCGAAACUCAUAACACCUUUCUCAUAUCCUAAUUUCAAGGCCUUUCGUGCAAGCAGUGUUUGAUGACGUGAUUUUUUGCAUCCUCAUUAGUCACUUUCAUUACAUACACCUCUCAUCAGGGCGGAGCCAGGAUCAAACUACAAGCUGGGCUAACAUAUAAAAAAAAAUAUAAAUUUACACAUAAAAAUUUUUUUUUGCCCUAAAAACCAUUAAGUGGGCUGGAGAGGGGACUGGGCUGGACCCAAUCCCCCCUUCUCUUUUGGUUAAUUAAUGGUUUUGGAAACAAUUCCAUGAGUACUAUUUUAAUCUGCAUCAUUUGUGCUUGCUAGUUUUGCCAAUGCAUUUGCAUAUUCGUUUUUUUUCUCUAGGAAUUUGUGAGAGCUCAAAUUUACUGAAGUGUUGAGAUGACUUUGUAACCUCUGCGAGAUAAGUAGCCACCAUUUUUCUUAGAUUGCGCAAUUUUCAUUCACCUAGUUUACCACUAAUUACGAAUUGGUCUUUUUUCUUUUUUUUUUUUUUUAAAGCGUGUAUUUCUUUUACCAGUUGUAGGCCGACCAAUAGAGUUUUAUGUUUGGCCAUAUUAUUAGUUACUUUAAACACAAACCUUAAUGUGCAGUUCAAUUUUUGCCUUUCUAGGUUGUUAGGCUUCUUACCCCAGUGUCAGUGUUUCCUGAAGAUCCAUCUACAAAUAGCUUCAAUGUUUCCUAUCCAGGCUCUUCUUCGGGAAUGAAAUCAUUUGAUAGUUUUGCAACAAAAUCUGCUAAUGCUUGAGCUUCGAUUGCGGAUAGUCCCUUAUAGGUUAUGUCGAAUUGUCCCAAUUUUAUUUUCCAUUUCAAUUCGCCUAUCUGAUGUAUUAUAUUUUUGUCGUACUUACUUAACUGGGAAAUUAGUUAGCACUUCUAUACUAUAGCUGUGGAAGUAUGGUUGCAUUUACAUGAUGCCACAAUAAAGGUAAGAACUAGUUUUCCAUAUCUUGAUAUCUCGCUUCCCCUCCUUAUAGAGUUUUACUUUAGUAAUAAAUUGGUAACCAUUACUAUCCUUCUUCUUUUAUCGAGACAUAACUGACUACCACUUUUGAAACUUCUAGAUAUAGCAAUAACUUUUCCUUAUUUAUGGGUUGGCUAAUAAUGAAAUUUCUCCUAGGCGAUCUUUCAAAGCCUGAAAUGCUUGCUCACUUUCACUCCCUUAUUCGAACUUUUUCUAUCCUUUCAACAAUUGAAAGAAGGAAGAACAGUUAUUCGUUUCUUGUGAUACAAAUCUGCUAAAAGCAGCAACCCUUCCUAAUAAGCUUUGUACUUCUAUUAUUUUUUUUCUGGGACAGAAUUUUAAUAAGAGCUCAAAUUUUGUUAGGGUUUGCUUUGAUACCUUGCUAAUUGACCAUGUCUCCUAUGAAUUUUUUAGAUUUGAUAUCAAAGGUGUAUUAAAGUGGAUUGAGUUUCAUUCUAUAUUUUCGUAAUAUGUUGAAGGUUUCUUCCAAAUGUUUUAAAUAGCUUUCAGUUUGGAGGCUUUUGAUGAGCAUUUUAUCGAUAUAUGCCAUCAUCAUCGAUCUGCAGAUAUUUUGUUUACUAGCAUUUGAUAAGUGGCUCCAUUCUUUAGCCCUAAUGGCAUUACAUUAUGACAAUACAAUUGUUGAUCUGUUAUGAAUGUCAUGUCCAUAGAUGAGGAUUUGAUUAUAUCUCGAAUAUCCAUCCAUAAAACUUAUUAAUUCAUGUCCCGCAGUUGCAUCUACCAAAUGAUAAAUUUUGGGGAGCAAGAAAUCGUAUUUAGGACAUGAUUUAUUUAAGUCCGUGAAGUCUAGCACGUUCACCUUUUUUUGUUGCUCUUUGAUACUAAUACUAGGUUAUAUACCCGAAUGAGGUACUAAGCCUCCUGGAUAACGCCAUUUUCUAACAAUCUAUUUACCUCUUUUUUUAAUGCUUCAUACUUCUUAGCACUCGUUGGCCUCCUUCUUUGCAUUUUGUGUUUUAUCUUCUGAUCAAUACAUGCCUCUUUAGGAUAUAUAUCUACCAUCUUAGCAUGCUUCCAGACGAACACAUCUAGAUUCCCUGCCAGGAAGCUUUUUGCAAACCUUUCGUACGCUAAAUUCCUUGCCAACUUUUAGGGCCGUACUUAUAUCUUUUAAACUAACGAAAAAACUUUCCAGUUCCUCCACCACAGCCGCCUCUGAGUUAUGCUAGGAUCAAUUGAGUCAUUGAUUUCAAGUUUCUUCUCUAGAUUACUCAUUUCGACUAUAGCAAUUAUAUACUUCUUGGGAGAUUUUAUGGCUCUUUCUCUCACAUUAUUUUCAUGAUUCCUACACAGAAUCCCUUGAUUUUGUUUUAAGGACACUCCACCCUUAUUCAUAAAAAAUCUCACAUACGCUUGACAGAGAGAAAUGAUUAUGUUCGCCUAUUUCAUGGCAGGAUGUCCAAGGACUCCAUUGUAUGCAAAUUUUUCCUUAGUGAGUCUCUCUAGUCUAAAAAGAAGUGACAUGAUACUUUUUAGCCAUUAUUACCUUAGUUCUUUAAAAAAUGUGACAAGAUUAUGUCACUUUUUGACAAUAUGAACUUCAUAAAAUUGUUACCAAAUUUAGCUUAUAUGUAAAUAUAAGGACACUUCAGUUGUUUUAUUGAGAUCUAUAACAAUAAUUACAACUUAAUCUCUAUUUAAUAGUGUCAAAACUUAGCUUUUUAUUAAAAUGAAUGACAUAACCACUUUUCCAACAAAAAAGUGAUAUUUUUGUUUUAACAAAAUUUGUUGUAUGUGCAUUUUACUGGGACAAUAAUUUCAAUAGCUAAUCAUUUUUAUAUUCAUUAUUUUGUUUUCAUUCGCCUUCAUAAUAGAUGAAGAAGUUAAUUUUGUUCAUAUAUGUAGAAAUGAAAGAAUACAAAUGAAAUAGUGGCAGACUUUUUUAGGAAAAAUUGGCAAAGUAUGUCGCUUUUAAUUUGAAGCAAUGUAAAGCAAUGUCACUUUUUCAUGUAAAGCAAUGUUUGAAUUCAUAUUCAUAUUUAAAUUUUCACAAAUAAAUAUGUAUCUCUCUUCAAUUGAUUCUAAAGAACUCAAAUGACUAUAAUCUUUUGGAAAAAAGUGAUAGAAAAUAUCACUUUUUAUUUUUAAUAUCUUAAUCCACGUGCAAAAAUAUAAAUAUAGUGUUAUCAUGUCACUUUUAAAUGUGAAACAAGCUCACAAACAUACUUAUACGUUUGUAGUUAUUUGAAAUAAAGGAACUCAAAUGAAAUAAACUGCGACAUGUUUAAAAAAAAAGUCACAGUGUCACUUUUCUCAUUCUCAACUUCACAGACAUCUUUGCAUAUAUCACUUGAAUUGAUUCAGCUGAUUUUUCAUAUAUAUUAACUCAAUCUAAUUCAUACAAAUCUGAAUUUUAUUUUAUAGUAACUAGAAAUUAUUAAUUUAAAGAUAAAAUUUCAUCCGUACUAGAGCAAAAGUACCUCAACAACGUAAAAAUCAAACAAAAUAUGAACUAAUUGAAUUAAAAAGUAGAAUGUAUAAACAUGUAGAUUUGAGUUGAUCAUUUGCAUAAUAGAGGAAGAAAAAGUAGUUAAAGCAGCCCUUGAUCUUCUUUGGGCUUGAUUAGUACAAGAUUUCAUUUUAUGAUUUUCAUUUUGCUUGAUUUCAAUUUUGGAAGAGUUGAAAUUUUAGUUGUUGAUCGGCUUCUAUACUCUCUAAGUUAGGACCGUAAAUCCUACGGUGCAAUUGAAAGGAAUUAUUGUAUUCACCUUUUAACACAUGUUUGUUCAAAAUGAUCACAAACGUAUGGAUAUUUAUGUAAGUACCCUAUUAAAUACGGGGCCAACUACUAUUUAAUGAGUGGGUCAAAUCCACUUAAAUUUCUAGUAAUAAGCAGUUAGGAUUUGAAAAAAUAUAACAUAUCCCACAAUUAUUAUAAUCUUAUUCGUACUUUUUGGUUGUAGUACUUAGCAUUUCUUUGCUUAUAAAAUGCUGCCCGAAGCUCAGCUUCAUUAUCUUCUCUUCUAGCAGAUCGAGCUCAGUACGCAAUGCCUUUUCAUUGUUCUCUUUGUCAAAGCGUAAAGUUCAAUUAAGGAGACUCCCAUUUUGAGAGGAAUUGUGGUUUCGACACAAAAAGUAAGGAAAAAUGGGGUUUCUCUAGUAUUGGUGUGAGAGGUGGUGCAGUCGGACCACAUUAUGCUAGGGAGUUCAUCAGUCCAUGUGCCUUUGAGAGCAUCUAAUCGAGCUUUGAAGUAUGCUUGAUGAUUUUAUUGAUUGCUUUGACCUGCCCAAUUAGCUUGCAGGUGAUUUAGAGUGGAGAAAUAUUUUUGAAUGUUUAGCUAUUCGCAAAAGAUCCUCAAACAUGCGUUAUCAAACUAUUUCUUAUUAUCAGUGACAAUGGAAUGGAGAAUUCCAAAUCUACAAAUAAUUAAUUUCCAAAUGAAGUCCGUGGUUUUAUGCUCAGUUAUCAUUGCAAGAGGCUCGGCUUCGGUCCAUUUGGUAAGGUAGUCGACAACAACUAUAGUGAACUUAAUUCCACCUCGUCAGGUAGGAAUGGGUCUGACCAAGUCUAUCUCCCAUUUUAAGAAUUGCUAAGGUCUAAUUAUGUGAGUGAGAUCCUCUGGAAGAGUUGGAUGAUGGGUGUAAAUUUGUGGCACUAAUCAUACCUCUUUAUAAAGUUUAGAGCGUCAUUUUUGAAGGAGUGCCUAAAAUAUCCUUGUCUCAAGAACAUGUGGGCCAAAACCUGUCCUCCCGUGUGAUUUCCAUAGAAUCCUUCAUGCACUUUCUAUAGAACGUAUGAGGAUCUUCUUUGUUUAGGCACCUUAGUAAUGGGAUUGCAUAUCCUCUCUUAAGAAGACACCAUCUAGGAGAGCAUAUCACGCUAAUCUUAUUCUCAACUUUCUAGCUUCGACUGGGUAAGCAAGUCCUUUCUCAAUUCUUAGGAAUUGUACAAUCUCGUCCAUCCAAGAAGGUUUAGGUCUAUGGCCAUUAACGUUACAAUAUUUUCUUCAAUAGCAAGAUGUCCAAUUCUUCCAAAAGGGAUACAUUUUCACCUUUUCGCAAGUCAUGAGCCUAACUAGAGCAUUAGCGUGGCUGUUCUGAGAUCAAGGUAUUUGCUUUACCUUGAUUAUAUUGAAGUUACUUAAUUCUCUUCGAGCAAUUUUAAGAUAGCUGUUCAUCCUGUCUUCUUUAGUCAGAAAACCUCGUUGAUUUGUUUUAAUAUAAGUUGGGAGUCGUUCAUUAUCAAUCUGGAUAUUUUUAAUUCUUUGGUCGUUUUAGGCCAGCUAUUAAUGCUUUACAUUCUGCCAAGUUAUUAGGAGCUUUGAAGCCAAAGGUCAAUGCUUGACAAAAGUAGAGGCAAUUUGGGCUGACUAGAAUCACUUUAGCACCCGCUAUGGCCUCAGUUGAGGAACAACUCCCAAGUUCUUUCUUCUUGUAACUCUUUUUGAGGAUUUAAACUGAAUUUUGGUACGAAAUUAACUAGGGCUUGGCCUUUUAUAGCUAUUCUGGUCUAUAUGAUAAAUCAAAUUGAUGAAACUCGAUGGCUCAUUUUACCAGAUGCCCUGGGUGUCAGGUUUUUGUAAGACUUUCCUUAACGGGUAGUAGGGUCUUAGCUUUCUUAUUGGCAUAACUAGGGCAUAGGUGAGCUUUUCCAUGGAAAAGUACUGCAGCUUAGCAUUGAGAAGUGCUUUGUUGAUGUAAUAGGUGGGUAUUCGAUACCAUCUUUUUCCCUAACAAGUAUGCUCAAAGCAUGCUUAGAUACAACUGGAUAAAGUGACAGCUUUUCAUUGGCCAUAGGCUUUGAAAGGAGAGGAGGUGGAGAUAGAUGUGUUUUUUCAACUCUUCAAAGGCUUUGCUAUAUUCUUGGUCUAUUCAAACUUCUUUUCUCCUUGGAGUGUGUCGAAGAAAGGUUUACAUUAGUCAGUGGACCGGAGACUAAUCUAUUUAAUGCCAUAAUUCAUCCUAUGAGACUUUGUAUUUUUAGGUUGAGUUGGAGCAUCAUUUUGAGGAUUGCUAGAUAUUUUAUAUUGGCUUCUAUCCCUCGAUGGUUUACCAUGUUACCUAAGAAUUUACUGGAGUUGAUUCCGAGUGGACACUUGAGGAGGUUGAGCUUUAUUUUGUAUUUUUGAAGGAUUGCAAACAUAUGUGUCGGAUAUGGUCUUCAGCUUUGAUGCUUUUUACUAGCAUGGUAUCGAUGUAUGAUUCCACGAUUUUUCUGAUCUGUUGGGCAAACAUUGAAUUCACUAGCUUUUGGUAUGUUGCUUCGGUAUUCUUUAGGCCAAAUGACAUCAUCUUGUAGCAAUACAAGUCUCGAUCAGUUAUGAAUAAAUCGUGUUUUUUAUCAGGUAAGUACAUGAAAAUUAGAUUGUAGUCGGAGUAGGCAUCCAUAAAGUUAAGAUGCUCAUGCCCAGCUGUUGUGUCGACCAUUUGAUCUACUUUUGGUCAUGGGAAAUUAUCCUUAGAACAAGCCUUGUUGAGGUCAGUAAAAUCUAUAUAUACCUGCCAUUUUCCAUUACUUUUAGGUCUUCUAAGGUAUUAUGUGAGUAAUCCAUAUCUCAGUUUGAUCCACUAAGAUAGGUCUUUUCAAUUGAGACUCCUUGGUUCAGUUGUAUUGUCCUCCGUGUAGCAUAUGCAAUCUAGAAUUGUGCAAGUCAAUGUUGCAGGAUUGAGCUUCAGCUUGAUCUCCUCGAACUUCACCUACUCAGUCGGAGGUGGGAAACUUUAUGUAGUGGUGAUAAAUUGAUGUUGUACCUUUAGCUCAUGGAGUAUGGGUCUUCUCAUAAUAGCAUUGAAAUUGGAUAGUAAGUCGACCAACACAAAAUCAGCAAUGAUUCUUCUUUGGCAAGGUACUUCACCGAGCUCUUUGAUCAACGCGAUCUUACCUCAGGCUUAAAUAGGAUAUCCAAAAAAGCUUUGCAGCCUUCUAUGGUAAGGCUAUAGUUCUUUGUCCUCGAUUCCGAUUCUUUCCAAGGUUUCUAAGUGUAGCACACUGAUGGAACUUCCAUUGUCCAUAAUGGUCCAUCUUAUGCGAAUUUUGACAAUCGGCAUAGUUAUAACCAAAGCAUCACUUUGAUUUUGCAUCACUCUAGGAGUCUUCUUCUGAGAAGGCGAACCAUUUUAAGUUUUAUGGACCGUGAGGUCGAGUUUGUGGCAACAUACCUCAUAAUUCUGGCAUAUUUAGUUUCUUCGGUUUGCCUUUGACAUUUUUUGAGACCUUUAUGUACAUUGGUUUCCUCUUACUAAUAUUCUAAUCUCAGCCUGUGACAGAGGAUUUGUACUUGGCUGACUUGGUAGGGCAGGUGGCAAGUUAGUCUGAUGGAUUGAAAUAGGGGUGAGUGGUUUCUCCAAGUUUGGAUAUGAAUUUCCUUAGCUGACAUCAUUUGAUCAAUGAUGCGAUUUGUUUUGUCUGUUUUUGACAGUCGAUCAUGUAAUGGUAGUUGUCAUGUGAAAGAUACAAUACCUAUUUUGAUUUGUCCUAUGGAAGCUCUUCUUAAUCGGUCGAGGUCAGUGGAAGGCCUUCUUGUGUCAUACUUGCAUGAAUACCUCUUCUAAAAAGGCAUUUAAAUGAUAAUACUGAUGAAAUCUUUUAUGAUAAGGGUGAAGUCAGUCAGUGUCUUCCUUUUCCUUUUUGCAUUUAGGCAUGGACUUUUUGUCCAUCUUUUUAUCUUUGGGAUGAGAUGAACGAUUAGGAUUGGCCUUUCCUUUAUCUUGAUCUAAGGUUGCCUCCUCUGUUCCAAUAUGUUUUCCUGCCAGACUUUGGAACUCAUGAUAUGUCUUAGGUCCAUCUUUAGAGACUGACCUCCAAAUAUGUAUCUUUGGCCACAUUCCUAAGAGGACAGCCAUUAGGGCAGUAUCAUCUAAUAUUUUUCCACCUCCAAGAAUUGUUUGUUAAACUUGCUAAGGAAACUAUUCAGGGAUUCGCUGCGUCCUUGUUCAAUACUUACCAGACAUUCCUUGGAUGUGGUCCUAGCUUUAGAGUCAAUACAUUGAGACAAGAACUCCUUAUGUAGAUCAUCCUAGUUUUUGAUGGACCUCUGAUGCAAUCUUCUAAUCCACCUUUGAGCUAUCCCCUGACGUCAAGGGAGAAGUCGACAUAUGAUGGCAUCGCUUGCUCCUUACAACUCCAUCUAGGAUGUGUAUUUGUUUAGAUGGCUAAGGGAAUCCUUCCUUUCUUAACUGGUGAGUUGAGGCAUUUUCAACUUUUUGAGUAGUAGUUUAGCUAAGAUGUCUUCUAUGAAAGGGAAAUGGUGGCCAAAAAAGUAUUCUUCAACAGAGCUUUGUGUUUGGCUUCUAGUUCAGCUAUGCAUUUUUUUAAUGAGCUCAUCUCAGGUUCGUCAUUUUUUGGACCAUCUCCUUUUGUGAGGAUUGGUUUUCCUUCUCUUAGGAAAUGGUGAUUGUUGGAACCUAAUCUAUCGAACACGCCUCUAGUUUUCUUGUGAAUCCUUCCUGUUGGCGAGGACAGUUUCUCGUCUCAUUCAUCAUACUCCUUGAUGACUCUUCACCUAAGAAAUGAAGGCUUUUUUGGUGGAAAGUUGACCAGUUCGUUCCUGAGAUAUAGCUUCGAUUUUAGUGUCAGCUAGAAGAGAAGUGUGGACCUGGUUUCUCUCCAUUAUGCAAUGGUGUUAAUUAUGCGUUCUAUUGCUUCUCUCAUUGCAGAGAGCUAAGGGUUGAUAUAUUCAGCAUCAUUUUUCUUUAGAAUUUGUGAGGAACAUUUAUAUCGUGGGUUAGUUUGAGCUGGAUUUCUAGAGGUUGAACUAUUGCGCACAGCGAUUUUUCAUGUAAUUUUUUGUGAACUUUUAUAAGAGAUAUUGGGCUUUUGCUUAGAAGGCCUUCUUUCUAGCGCUAAACUAUUGACGUCAAAAAAUGACUAAUUUACUUUUGUCAAUUUAAUUGAUGAUUUGGAAGAGCUAAUUUGAGAUAAAAUAUGUAAAUUGUGUUGAAAGUGGUAAAAGUAUCUGCUGAAACAAUAAGAAAUAGUACUUUUGUGCUAAAUGGAGAGUGUUUGAAGAGAGUUUUGUACACUUGUAGAGUUCAAUCCCUAUGGUGGGACCAUUAUAAACCCUCUAUAGCAGGGAAUAGGUAAUUUGAUUUGUGUGAUAUCAAAUGUGAUACAGUGCCGACCUUAAUGUGGGUGCUGCUAACCUAAUUUUGAUCGGUUGUUGAGGUUGGCUCCUAUGUGCCAAGUUUGAGCUGAGGUGGGGAGUAAUCAUUAUGAAAUUGUAAUUAGUCACGAUUAGGGGUGUACUAUGAUGUUCAUCAUGUCUCCCGAAGUGAUUGGGUUAGAUACAGGUGUGGUGUCAGCCUUGAAGCAAGGGAAUCAUAGUGUAAUGAUGAUGUUUCCCAAAUGACAGUGACAGUUCCUUCCUUUCGAAGAUAAGUUGAGCUGAGCUUGAAAUUAUACCAAGUUGAUUUGAACUAAUUUGGGAGUUCCGCCCCUGACAUGAUGACCUUAUUAUGAGACUUAAACUCAAUCUUAAAUUGGUUUCAAUUAACUCAAUGAGCUUUUGAAUUGAUGGAGGUUAACAACAGAAACGAACAAGAAAAAUCAGGAUGCUAAAGUUUACAAAUUUUCUAUUCAGACAUUCUCAAGUCACUUCCAAAUAAAGAAGAAAGCGUGUGAAUAUCUAGAAAGAUAUUAACCAUGCAAGAGACUAACUUCUCACAAUUUCGGCUGACUAAAUACCCUUACCAUGGGCAGUGGGCAGAGCCGGUCCUGUGUUUGAUGGGCCCUGAGGCGAAUGAUGAAAAUUAGGCCUUCCAUCGACAAAAUUCAAAGGUGUAUAAUGCAACUCAUAGCUAACUUAAAAAACUAACAUUAAAACAACAAUGAAAUAUAUCAUAGAAAUGAUUUAUAUUAUAAACCAUCAAACCAAAAAUUUCAAACAAUUAGUUAAAUACUAUUCUUCUUACUGUUUUAGAGGCUAAAACAUCAAUCAAAUCUGAAUAACUUAGCUAUUUAACCAUUUCUUUUUCUAUUGAUAAUAUAGCCAACCCGUUUAAUCUUUCUUGUGACAUAAUUGAUCGGAGAUAGGUCUUGAUCAACUUCAAUUUUGAGAAACUUCUUUCCGCAGAUGCAAUUGUAAUCGGUACGGUUAACAAAAUUUUGUAAGCAAUAUAAGCAUUCGGGAAACAAACAUCCAAUGUCUUCAAAUAGUGUAGCACUUCAAUUGCUCUUGUUGCUUCAUUUGGUAAAUAAAUCUUCAAGACUUGUAAUUCCGAACAUAAAUCAUCUCCACUGAUGUCCGAAAGCCCAUCAUGUUCAAGAUAUUUCUCAAGAUUCAUACAAGAGUUCAACAAAUUUGAUAAAUUUGCACUCCUUAACCUCUUCAAAUUAAACAAAAAUCCAAAUAUAUCAUCAUAUUGUUUGAAUUGUUCAAAUCGAGUCCUUAGAGAAGAUAGAGCUUGAUCAAUUAUAAAAACAAAGUACUCAACUCUAAAUGAUUCUUCUGCUGAUUGCUUUACCUCAUUAAUACAGUUUUCAUCAAAUUGCUUUUUUUCUUCGAAUUAUGCGUUUUUCUGUAAAUACAGCUUCAAUUCCCAUUUCAUUUGCCUUUUUUGUCGCUUCAUCCUUGGUAAUGGCAAAUCCAAUUUCUCUAUAAUCUUGAAGAAAUGAAACAAGUCCUUACAAUAGGUCGAUAGCAUGAUCAAUAUCCAUGGAUUCGAUUUGAAGAAAUUUACUCACAAUAUUGACUGCAUGCAACAAUAUGUACCAUAUUACUAUGCUAAGCAAGAACUCAAAAUUCUGAAGUUUAUGUGUUACCAACGACUCGACUUCACUCUUUAUUUUAGGAUCUUCGUUAGUUUCUGCCAAAUCAAGUAAUGCUUCUCUUAUCUGUGCAGUUUGCUCCAUUAUAGGCUUCAUACUCUCAACAUGACUUUCCCAACGUGUUUGUGACAGCGGCUUCACUGUCAACCCUUUUACAUUAUCUUUAAAAAUUUGCAAUUACUUGGUAGAAGAUGAAAACAAAGUGUAGAUGCGAUGUAUCACUCCAAAGAAGGAUACAGUUUUGGAACAACAAUUCACCAUAUCACAUAACGGUAGAUUUAGACUAUGAGCGUCACAUGGAGUAUAGAAAGCUCGGGUAUUCAUUUCAAGUACUCUUCUUUGCACACCUUUGUACUUCCCGCUCAUGUUAGAUCCGUUAUCAUACCUUUGCCCUCUAAUGUCAUCAAUAUCCAGAUCGAGUUUGAUCAAAGCCUUUUGAAGCUCGAUUGUAAGUCCAAGUCCUGUUGUAUUAUCUACCUUCAAAAAUUCAAGCCAAUGUUCUUCAACUGUAGGUAAGUUUGCCGAAUCAUCUACAAAUCGUACUAUUAACGACAUAUGUUCCUCAUGACUUACAUCUGGAGUACAAUCAAGUAUAACUGUGAAAUAUUUUACAUGUUUAACUUUCUUGACAAUUGCACUUCUCACAUCAUUAGCCAACAACCGUAUCAACUCAUUUUGAAUUUCUUUGCCAAGAUACGUGUAUUGAAUCUCUUUUUCAUUAGCCUGCCGAAUGUGCUCUUUCAUUAUUGGAUCAAAUUCACUAAUCAUUUCCACCAUUUGUAAAAACAGACCAUUGUUCUCAACAUUUAGCCUCUCAUCAUCUCCUCGAAAUGACAAGGUGUGUUUGGCGAAUCUUUUUACAAUAGCGAUUAUCCUUGUUAAUACAUGCCUCCAAUGUUCUUUUUCCGCAUUGAUCAACAAUUCAACGCUUUUAUCAAUUGUAAUUUUUGUUCGAAGCCUAUUUUCCAAUUCAAUCCAGCUAGUCAUGCAACAUAAAUGCUCUUCAUUUCCUUCAUGACUUUUAAUAGACCGAUGCAAAUUAUGCCAAUCUUUGAAUCCAUCGUUACCAAGUUGGCCAACUCUGGUAAGUUUUUGGCUGUUUUAAACAAUUUGCAAAAAAAGCAAAAGAUCCUGUCCAUAGAUAUUGAAUAUACUAGCCAUCUUCUAUCAAUUGUUUGUCCAUUUCGUAGCAAUCGCUUAUAUUGUGAAGAAUCAAAAUGCCUAUUUGUACAAUCUUUCGGAAACGAGAUAUCAUCAACUCUUUUUGGACCCCUUUCAACUAAGUAAUUCCUUGUUCUCUGAUCAAUAAUUUUCCAAUUCCCGGGAUCAUCCAAAUUUAGAGAAAAGCAACCCUCUUCUUCCUUGUCAUCUACUUCAUUAACACAUGCAUGUUUCAUCACCUCUUCUUCCUUAUCAUCUAUUACAUUAACAUAGGCAGGUUGACUCACUUCUUCAUCCUUAUCAUCUACUUCAUUAACACAUGCAGGUUGAAUCUCUACUUUAUCCUCAUUCAACGUAUUCAUAUUGUUGCUUUUAAAGUACUUGCCAAUAUCCGCUGCUUGACUUUGAAUUAAUGAAAUUUCAUUUCGUUUCCUUUUUCUCUUUUGAGCACCAGACUCAUAUUUAGGAAGCAUGGUGUAUGAGUCUAUAUCUGAUGCUCAAUGAUUAACCUAAAAAACAUUUACAAAAUAUCUCAAAUCAUCACACAGUUAGAGUUUUCAAUAUAGUUAUUAUGUGCGCCUAUGCAAUUGUUGAUCCUCCAAUAAUCAAUCAUAUAAGCUGACCAGGCUACAAUUAUAUAAGCCGACAAGGCUUCAAACAUUUUCAAUUUCUUCAAUAACAAGUUAAGGCAAGCCAUUGCUUACCUGACAAGUAGAAUUUCGACGAAAACUUUGGAGUUACACAUUCAAGAAUUCGACUGUCACAAGACUCACAACUCCCGACCCUGAAACAAAAAUUUCACAUCAAACGCACAUCUAAGUAAGAUAAAUACAUUAAUAAGGAAUGAUGAGGAUGAGGAGUGCAGGAAAGAAGGGAGGAUGAGAAAAUUCUUCUCGACUUUUAUUUCCAAUCCUCACAUUAAUAAGCAUGGUAUGAAAAUUUUAAACAUACAAAAGCACCCCUAAGUAAGAUAAAUACAUCAUUGUCAUGUUAUUCUCCCUCGUCCCAGAAGCAUAAAAGGCUGAAAUAAAAGAAAAGCCAAAUCCUUGUUAUGAUAAAUAAUAAAAAUUCGUUUGAGUAAAGAUAGAUUGCUGUCAUUAUAGCAAGAUAGAACUGUAUUUGGCCUUGGCAUUGCGAGAUGGGUAUAUGUUCUGGUAAAGUUAUUCUAUUACUCAUAAAACUUUAUCAGAUAUUCAUUGAAAAAGAAACCUAAAAAAUGUUUCCUAAACAAUGAUUAUGUCUGAUAGAACCUGAAGGGUUUCAAACCAAACUGAAUAUUUUAGGAAACAGAAAAAUUUCAGGUAAAGAACCGAGUUAAACAUGAAAGAUGUGAAAUAU